rnacentral:lncRNA from 1 species
AGGCCGCCCUGCUAGGGCCGGAGGGAGGUGGGCACGCCGGGCUCGGGACCUUCCCGGGGUCCUGCGCCCGCCCGGCCUCCCGCCCUGGGCAUGGUUGGCCCACUCCUCCCGCAGCCACCAACCUGACAGCCCCCGAGGGCGACUCCGCCGACAGACCGCCAUGCACCGGGCCCCGCCACCAGCGCCGGCCCCACAACCCGCCUGCGCCAUAGCCCGCCCGCCCGCGCGCAGCUUGCCUCGCGCGAUAUCCAGGUUCCAGGGCCGCCGCACUUUCCUUUCCUCUUGGCGCGCCUCUACCGGGCCCCGGAACCCGUAUAGAAAAUACCGGGCACGGUCCACCCCGCCCCCCGCUUCGCCGCGGCAGCCAUCCAACUUAUCCUGGUUCCGGGGCUCCUGGAGCCCAGGCGGCCGGGAUCUGAACCGAGCUCUUCGGAGCCCCGCCCCCACCAAGGCCGGGGUGACGCAUGGCCAGCGAGGCUGAGCGCCCAGGGAAGGCGUGCUGACGUCACGACGCCCGGGUCAGGGCCUGGGCGCGGCUCGGAGCCGGGUCGUCGCUAUAGCAAUCGGGAACCGCUACCUGUCCAUUCCAAGGAUUCGGUCCAGCAGAAGCGUGAGGAGGUGGCGGAGGCCCCGAGGGCUUUGCGUCAUCACUUCUGCGGCCUGCGGGCGAGAAGGUGCGCUUCGGGAGUAGCGCGGGAGGACAGGAGGCGCAGGUUGUGAGGGACGCAGGCCCUGGGGCUUCGGUCUCUGUCCUCCGAGCUCAGAGCCUCCAGGCUUCUUCCCGGCCGCGCGCUCAGCACUCACUGUCUUACGGUCCCGAAGCGCUUUAAGGUGCGCAGUCCGCAGGCCUUGCCUACUGAUCUUCCAGCCACCCCUUGAAGGAAGCAGUUGCAGGUAUUAAGAGCUCCUUAUUGAAAAGGACGAUGUAGAGGGGCGGUGAGGGACUCGCCUCCGCAGGGAGGGCGCCCUGGCGGUCUUCUCAGGUUCUCUCUCAUUCCCGCGUCAGCUCCACCGUCAGGCUCGAAACCGACUACUCCCUUUUGUAGGCUUGCUUUGGGUUGAACAUAAAAACCAAGCCCCUUUACUAUUUCCCUGCUGGGAGGGGCUGCGAUUGGGAAAUUUUCAGAAACCUGAGGGAAAAUUAAAAGGGAGCGAGCUUUCGGUAAAAAAUCAAAUUAAAAAGGAGGGGCGUUAGAGAAGGAACUGGUAAAGAUUGCCUUUUAGGAGAGGAACUGGGUGGCUGGAAGAAUGAGGUGAGAAACUUUCCCCUCUCUAUCCUUUCAGACUUUAACUGGUUUCUUUUGUAUCUUCCCCGCCCCGAAAACAAUUUAACUUAAUAAGAAUAAUUUUUAAAGGACGUAAACUAGACACAGUUACAAAGUACGGGGUUUGGGGCUUGUGGUAGCUAAAGGUGUCUUUGGGGAUGCGGGCAUCCUUUUCCUCUCCUGCCUGAAGAGCUUAACUAGAAAGCCCCCCUUUCGGUCUUAGACAUCCCCUCUUCCUGACUUGUUCUGGCUGGGACCAGAGUUCAGUUUAGGUAGGCCAGUGAGUGACAUUUGAUGGUUAGAAUUCCUACGGUUAGAAUUAAUCCCUUCUGUAUCUCCUAGUAUGGAAAUAAACUGCCUGGCCACUAUGCUGCCCUCUUUCCAUUCCUUUUUGGUGGAAGUUUGACAAGUUAUUUCCCAUAGAAAAUAACUUAUAGGCCGGGCGCCGUGGCUUAAACGCCUGUAAUCCCAGCACUUUGGGAGGCUGAGGCGGGCGGAUCACGAGGUCAGGAGUUCGAGACCAGCCUGGUCAACAUAGUGAAACCCCCCCUCUCUACUAAAAAUACAAAAAAAUUAGCUGGGCGUGGUGGCGGGCGCCUGUAAUCCCAGCUACUCCGGAGGUUGAGGCAGGAGAAUUGCUUGAACCCGGGAGGCGGAGGUUGCAGUGAGCCAAGAUCGCACCAUUGCAGUCCAGCGCGGGCAACAGUGUGACUCCGUCUCAAAAAAAGAAAAAAAAAAAGAAAAAGAAAAAGUACCUUAUAGAUACAGAGAGAAGAUUAAGUAGCUCCUCUUAUAAUAUGAAUUGAGGGUUAGAAAUACCGCAGGGAAUAGAACUCAGGCUGUACCUGAGUUUGUCCCUCUCCAACCACCCUUUUUCCAUAGCUCUCUCUGUAUAUAUAUAUCUGUCUUUUCUCACAUUCCUUACGGAUCGUAAUCUGAUGGCCAGUCACCUCUGCAAUUAUACAUUUAACAAGAGCUCUGGGAAACAGUGUCUGAAUCUGAAGUAAUGAUCCUAAUGGAAGGUAAUUUCAGGUUCUCAGGAGAAUUGGUGAGGAUAUUUUGGAGGGCAGUAUUGAAGACCAUUGCUAGCAGUUUCUCUCCUAUCCCUUCCACUCAACAUAUAGGCUGGUGAUCUUCAGACAUUUUUUAGAAUGAACCCAUAAAAGAAUUUUGAAGAGCUAUGUACCUCUUGUUCAUUUUUAAGUUGAUACCUAAAUUUUCCUUCAUUAAUUUAAAUACUUAUAGAGGAUACAAUUUCAAAUUUUGACAUCUUAAACUAAGACUUACAUCAUUCUUUUUUUCUGAGACGGAGUCUCGCUCUGUCAACCAGGCUGGAGUGCUGCAGUGGCGAAAUCUCAGCUCACUGCAACUUCCCCUUCCAGGUUCAAGCAAUUCUCCUGCCUCAGCCUCCCGAGUAGCUGGGACUACAGGUAUGCGCCACCAUGCCUGGCUAAUUUUUAGUAGAAACGGGGUUUCAUGGUGUUAGCCAGGAUGGUCUCGAUCUCCUGACCUCGUGAUCCGCCCGCCUUGGCCUCCCAAAGUGCUGAGAUUACAGGCAUGAGCCACCACACUUGGUCUACAUCAUUCUUAAUGUAUCUGGCAGGGCAGGCACAGUGGCUCAUGCUUGUAAUCCCAGCACUUUGGGAGGCUGAGACAGGCGGAUCCCGAGGCCAGGAGUUCGAGACCAGCCUGGCCAAGAUGGUGAAACCCUGUCUCUACUAAAAAUACAAAAAUUAGCCGGGCAUGGUGGUGCGUACCUGUAGUCCUAGCUACUCGGGAGGCUGAGGCAGGAGAAUCACUUGAACUCGGGAGGCGGAGGUUGCAGUGAGCUGAGAUCGUGCCACUGCACUCUAGCCUGGGCUACAGAGUGAGACUGUCUCACAUUAAAAAAAAGUAUCCGGUGGAUUCCAAGUACCCUAAAAAUCUAAUGCCUACCAUCAUCCACUUAAAAAUAUAUGAACAAGCUCUUCAACAGAAAUUUUAUAUGGUUCUCUUUCUCCUUAUACUUUGAAUUCCAUUCACUUCCUGUAAUCAUUAGUAUAUAACUUACUAAACUUUUUUUUUUUACUAAAUAUUACUAAAUACUAAAUUUUCCUAAAUAUUUUUAACAUUUUUAUGACUUGUGAAACCUAAAAAGUACAAUUUUUAUUGAAAAUGCAUCUGUUAAUGAGAAAUAUGGUGUUUCUCCCCAAUUAGUUCAGGUAUUCAUGGAUUAAUAUUACCUAAUGGUAGAAGGAGAUAAGGUGCAACAUCAAUCCUUUACCUGUUUUUUAUUUUUAUAGACAUGAGUAUUGAGAAACCUUGUUUCCACAAUUGGGAAAGGAAGAGAUUUGUUACAAUGAUAUUCUUUGAGUCUUUGAACUUCUAAAUUAUAUGCCAACAAUCACAGAGUGAUCUAUUAAUACUAUCAAAUAGAGUCUUCUUUUAAUUUUGUUAAAAGCAAAGGAUUAGAAACCACUGAACUUCCAAAAGGAUUUAGUUAUUAGAGUCUCAGUUUUGGUUUUAUUAAACAUGAUUAUUAAUUAUCUGUGACCUUUACACUCAGAGACACUUUGUUAAUCAGAUAUUGAUUUCCAUACUUCUUUGCCUACACAAUAUUUUUUGGUAAAAUUCUUUAAUUAUUACAUGUCUUCAAGAACUUUUUGUUAAACUGAAAUGCAGAUUCAGCUCAUUCACUGUAUAGAAAACAACUGCCAUUUGUGGAAUUGGCAAAGCCAGUUUUCAUUUCAAACCAAUCAGCCAAAUCAGACCUACUUUCUGUUAGAAACAUGUCUGACUUUAUUCUUCCAUUCAAAUAAAUAUGUUAACAUUCAUUUUGAGGAAUAUUAUAAAAAUUAUUAGGAAAUAAAUGAUUAACUAUAGCUUAUAAAAUGGACCACUGAUAAACCAGUCAAGAUUAAAAUUAUUUAGACCUACUAUUAACAUAAUAAAUGGUAAAAAUAAGAUAGUACUGUUUUUCAUUAUAUAAUUAGGAAUAAUGCUGUAUAAUGUAUAGUUAAAUCCAUCAGUUUUGAGAAGUCAUAUAGAAGGCAUAUAUUCCCUUGGUAAAUGUGUGUGCCUGCUUUCAUCAAACUCUUGUUGUUCAGCUUUUGGGAACAAUUAAAUGAGAAUCAUGUCUAAAAAUCAGAAAUAACUAAUAAUCUUGUUACACAAAUUUUUUUCUUCUGUAUUUUUUAGAAAGGAAAGCUGUAUUUGCUAAGAAAUAAUGAAUUGAGCAGCUAGCAAUUUCACUUUUUACUAGGAGGUAGAAAAUAAUAAACAUUUUAUAUAAGAUAAAAUAGGAAGACUGAUUGCAAUGGGAAUAUUUUGAUAUGAAGUGGAAAAUAAUUGCUCCCUCCAAGCUCCUCAGGUUUUUACACCCUGGACCAUGCAUCAAGAUUCAGUGUAGGGGAGAGACAUUCCUUUCUUUUGUAAAGUAGGACAAGGACUAUGGUGAAAGUGGGGGCAGUGGUAGAGUGGAGAAUGUGCAUGAAUAUGUCAGCUGGCUCCCAAAUGGAUUGGUUUUUAGAAUUUUUUUUUUUUUUUUUUUUUGAGACGGAGCCUCGCUCUGUCACCCAGGCUGGAGUGCAAUGGCAUGAUCUCAGCUCACUGUAACCUCUGCCUCCCGGGUUCAAGCGAUUCUCCUGCCUCAGCCUCCUGAGUAGCUGGGAUUAUAGGCGCGUGCCACCACGCCCGGCUAAUUUUUGUAUUUUUAGUAGAGAUGGGGUUUCACCUUGUUGGUCAUGCUGGUCUCAAACUCCUGACCUUGUGAUCUGCCUGUCUUGGCCUCCCAAAGUGCGGGGAUUACAAGCAUGAGCCACUGUGCCUGGCCGUUUUUUUUGUUUUUGUUUUUGUUUUUUGAGAUGAAGUUUUGCUCCUGUUGCCCAGGCUGGAGUGCAGUGGCACGACCUCGGCUCACUGCCACCUCCGCCUCCUGGGUUCAAGCGAUUCUCAUGCCUCAGCCUGCCAAGUAGCUGGGAUUACAGGUGCCUGCCACCACGCCCGGCUGUUUGUUUUUUUUUUUUUCUGAGAUGGAGUCUUGCUCUGUUACCCAGGCUGGAGUGCAGUGGCCCAAUUCAGCUCCCUGCAACCUCCCCUUCCUGGGUUCAAGAGAUUCUCCUGCCUCAGCCUCCCAGGUAGCUAUAAUUACAGGUGUGCACUGCCACACCCGGUUAAUUUUUGUAUUUUUAGUAGAAAUGGGGUUUCACUAUGUUGGCCAGGCUGGUCUCAAACUCUUACCUCAGGCGAUCCGCCCGCUACAGCCUCCCAAAGUGCUGGGAUUACAGGUGUGAGCCAGUGCACCCGGCCUGGUUUUAGAAAAUAUUUUAUAGGGAAGUUGAGGAUCUGGAAAUUUAUUCCUUUAAAACUCUCCUCAGACUGAUUUGAGGCUAUUUCCUGGGUAUUCCUUGCAGUCUUACGUACCCUAGGAAAAAUCUUCAUUUACCCCACUUGGAAGACUUCUUAAUAUAGGCAUAUCCAAACUCCAAUGUCCCUGACUAUCCAUUAUUUUGAGACACCAAAGCAAAUGUCCUACGAAGUAAGGAGGAAGACGUGUUGUUCUUAGAAUAGAAGUGAGUUAUGAGAGAAGUCAAAGAGGAUGGCUCCAAGUUGGUAUAGUGUGAAGGUCAUGGAUAUGGUCCUUGGCUUUGCAGUUCUAGAAGUGUGAUUUUGGGUCAGUCCACACAAAGGUGUUCAUGUUUUGUCACAUUAAAUCAAACUCAUAGGAAGUUAAUGUACAUAAUAGAAUGCCAGUGCAUUCUUUUAUACUUACAGCCACCAAGUGAACUGGAUUAUCGCUCCUGUUGGGUAAAUCUUAUCUGGGAAGAUCAAUUAUAAUCAGAAAGUUACAUGAGGAGUGUGGAUCUUGAGCAUGGCUAUUGUCAAUAAGCUGAUGAGCAGGUGCUCACUACCUGGCAUAUAAUAGGAUCUCAGUAAUUAUGGAAUGAAUGUACUUCAUCUGUAUCUUCAUUAUAGAUGCUAAAGGGUAAGUUUAAGAUUCUGAUAGGCCACCCCACAUGUUUUUUGAUCAGGUAGAUUUUUCCUUGUUGCUCAAGUUAUACUCUUAAAUGGCUAUAUCAUGUAGAUAUUAAAUCCAAUAAAAUUUCAUGAAAGGGAAUUAUAUAAUUGCAACAGCAAAGUUUUAUCUAUAUCUCUGAGCCUAGAAAUUGGGACUGUUCAUUUAUAAUAGAGAUUGGAGAUUGCUUUCUCCUGCCCUGUAGGAGUAGUGAUGGUGGUAGUGACUAAAUGAUCUGUAUUUCACAAUACUAUUUGGUGGCUAAGAGUGUACUGCAUACAAAGAAUGACACUGGGUGACCCUCAGUGCUGGCGCUUUCCUAGAGGUGGGACAUCCUGAGUAGGGAGGUGCUGAACCACCUGUGGGCUGGCCAGCUGUUGUGGACUGUACUGUGGAGAGGAGGAACAAUAAAUUUCCCCCACUCCUUAGAUCCCCCUCAGGAGAUAAUACUUGAUGCUGCUUUUAAGGACAGAGAAAAGACAAGCCUUUUCAAAUUUUAAAAUCAUUAGGGAUGAGUUGCCAAAAAAUUUGGGUUAAGUUUUAUCUGGAAGCCAGAAGACAUUGUCUCCUCAAGGCUUUUUCUGGCUCUGGGAUAAGCUAUUGAGAUAGAGGAAAAGAUGCCGGGCUGAGGAGUUUCAUUUAGUAUUUUAAUAAUAAUAAAAAAGACAUACAAAAUCCAAACAUUUCUUUUUACAAUUCAGAUACAUAUUUUUCCCCAAGUGCAAAAUACUCUAUGAACUGCAUCAUUUGCUGUUUAUUGUCGAUUGUAUAGGAGAUGCUUACUAAAUUGGCAGCAGUGGAAGGCAGAUAUAAAUACAAUAUUUUGAAAUUUCUUCUGCAUUUAACAAAAAGCCUCCCACAUGGCGAUGAUUAUUCUGAAACUUGAGUUCAGCUCACACAGAAGUAUAAAGUUUUCAGUUUGUUCAAACUGCUACAACCUGUGGUGUCUAAAAAAGCUGAUGACAACUGGGGGUUCUAUUCCUUCUAAUCAUAUAUUUCCUUGUACAAAUAAUGGCACAAGGAUAGGGUGUGCUACUUUUGAGACGGGUCAAAUGUAAAAAUAUCCUUGUGUUGUUCGCUCCCACUUUUAUUGUGCUUAAGAAAGAAACCUGGAGGGUUAACAUUUUCUGCUUAUGCUCAGUUAUACUUUGUCUUGGUACCCCUUGUUUGUACUAAGAUGAAUGGAAGCCCCACAAUACUGUCGCCCCACACCCUACACGCUGCAGAGAGGCCUCUGGGUUGCUUCAUGAAGGGAUCCUAUUUAUACCAUCUUUCCAUUUCCCUCCAAUGGUAAAAACCUCUCUUCUGUCUGACCUGUAAAGACCUAGAAUGUCCCUGAGCGUUGACUCCUCAUUCAAUCCAGUUAACCCCUAGUUUGAUGUCCCAGGGCCAGCCUCCUCCAUAGAUUCAGCAGCAGCUUUGCCUGGGUUCUUAACCCUCCAACUUGGAGGACCUAAAUUAAACUUGGUGGACAAUAGCAGGUUUUUACCUGCUCACCAAGAUCUGCCUUGACAUCAAUUAAGAAGCCUAGUGGUCUAUGCCUUCCGUACUGUGGAACUCAUUUGCAGGUCUCAUAAGCCAUGGAAUAAAUGGUUGAAGGAUGUGUAUUUGUAUGUAUGUAUGCAUGGUGUGACAGGAAAGGAAGGGAGAAAGGAGAAGCCAGACCCUGAAGGCAUAAAUUAAGAAGCAUGGUCACCGUUUGGCUUUCCAAGAGACGCAAAACGGCUGGCAGAGAGGAAUCAGAAAGUUAUCCUAGGCUGGGCGCGGUGGCUCAUGCCUGUAAUCCCAGCACUUUGGGAGACUGAGGCGGGUGGAUCACCUGAGGUCAAGAGUUCAAGACCAGCCCGGGCAACAUGGUGAAACCCCAUCUCUACUAAAAAUACAAAAAUUAGCUGGGCGCGGUGGCGCAUGCCUGUAAUCCCAGCUACUUGGGAGGCCGAGGCAGAAUUGCUUGAGCCUGGGAGGCGGAGGUUGCAGUAGGCCGAGAUAGCACCAUUACACUCCAGCCUGGGUGACAGAGCGAGACUCCAUCUCAAAAAAAAAAAAAAAAAAAAAGAAAGAAAGAAAGAAAGUUAUCCUAGCUUCUGGUGGAGAAUUAGGAUAGUCAGAGUUGAUUAAAGCAGUUUUCAUGGUGCUUCCUGGGAAGUACAGAGACACUCAUACUAAAUGACCAUUUCCCUUGUUUGGAAGCAGCCAUUUUGCAUCUUUACAGUGGCCCUCCUUGACCCAGAAAGACAAAGGUAGCCAGACACUCUACCCACAAGGACCAUGAUGUUGGCUAAUGGUUGUCAGGGAAUCUAGCUGUGUCAUUGGCUACCUACUGCUAUGGCCGUUUUGGCUGAUGAAUGCUACUGAUGGGAGGGCAGGGAGUCAGACUCCUUUAUUUAGUGUUGAGUCUCCUGGGGGAGCAGUAGCCUAGGACAGUCACCUAGAAAUGAACCUGAGCUGUUCUGUGAGUUACCAGGAGAGUUAAAAAGAAAAAAAAAAAAAAAAGAAAUGAACCUGAGGACUCAGUUGGUAGCCUUUGAUUGAUUGGGACUACAGCUUUGGGGGAACUAGAGUGAGAAAACAGAAAAUAAUUUUAUAGGCAACACUUGGAUUAAGGGCAGAAUGUGUGCAGGCUUUGGGCUUGGGCAUGGACUUGAUUCUUCUUCCAUUUGAUUCUUUCUUCCUUCUGAAAAACAGUAGUUGAGGAAGCUAAGCUUGAAGUCAACUUCAAAGGGAAGUGACCAGAGCCAGGCAAAUAUCUGAUGCCUUCUGUCUUAUUCUUGGCUCCCACAGCUUUGUCUCUGGCCUCGGGACCCUGAGUCAGCCCAUCCCCAGGUGGUAUGUCCUGGUCCUCUUCCAUGUGUACACCAGGGGAUAACAGGAUGAAGACAGGGAAAAGAUGGAGGUUUUCCCUACUUGGGGUAGAGAAUCACUGACCAGUUCCAUUGGCCUCUAUAAUCAUGAGGUCCACACUGACUCCAUGGAGAGGCAUAGGGAUAGCAAGAUUGGUUUAGCAAACAUAGGUCUCUCUCCUUUCUGCUCCAUCAAAUCCCCAGAAUUACUUUCCUACACAUCAGAUGCCUCUGCGCAAUUACCCUGGAUUACCACAGCCAAGGGCUCUAGGUGGCCAGUGGUGGCAUAGAGACAGAUCAGAUGCUCCAGCACUCAAGGUUCAUGAGAUUCAAAACCGAUUUUCUUCCACUCCAAACAUACACUCUUUUCUCUUGGGCAGCUAUAAAUAGGGUUUUGCUAAUAGAGGAAGAAGAAACAAAAACAAAAAACAAACCCAGAAAACAAAAACCCCUCCGUCUAGACAACAUAGAAAGACUCAAAAUGAUUGCACUUAUUAGGUGUGGACAGGGUGGGCAGGAGGCUCGCCAAGUGCACACACAUUCCUUUUGCUGCCCACAGCCUGAGGCCAGAGGUAGGUGGCUCCAGGCUGGCUUCAGAGUGGGGUCCUCUUUGGUGAAGCCCACAAGCCAGCUGGGGCUACAAGGGAAAAACAACUGUAGGGCAAGGCCUAGGCUGGCUUCAGGUCAAUAACCAUGUUUAAGGACAACAUGUAGCAAGGGGAGUAGGGCUCCCCCAGGGAGCAUCACAUGGGGCUGAGGAGGUGGCUGGGCCAGGGAAGACAAGAAAAGGGAUUAGUGUUUGAAGUUGACUUCCAAUUGUUCUGUGUCUAGUCCUUUAGAUGAUACAUUUUUUCUUUCUGUUUUCUUUUUUUUGGCAAUGCUUUAAAACCUUGUUUCUGUCCUGCAGAGUUACAGUCUUUCUCUCAGGGAGCUACAGCGGGGCAUUCACCAUGACAAUGCCUGCUGCUCUUCCUCAUUUAGCCGGUGUCCACUAACUCAGUGUUGUGGGCCAUUUGUAAACCCUUAUGGAGUAGACCCCAGGCAGACGUAGGGAAAGAAAGAGAGGAUCUGUAUAGACAAGAAAGCUGGCCAUGUGGGAAGUCCAGAGCUCAAACCAUGUGCCCCAGAGGACUGGUGCUGGCAUUAAGCCUGUAAAUCAAAGGCUUCUUUGGCAGGACCCUGGGCUGUUAGAAUCACCCUAGGGAGCAGAGCCAGGGGACAUUUUGGCCCCUGACUAGCAAGGCACAACCCUAUAAUGGCAGAAGCCCUUCUUUCCCCUCCCCGUUUCCCACCAGACCCACUUCCUUGAUGGGCCUCUAGCACCCUUCCAAGCUGAUGGGGUCGGGAAUGUGAGCUGGUAAAAUGGGCAGUGGAAGGGGCUGUACUGUUUCUUUACAUCUCACGGGGACUAGAGCCAGUACUGAAUGGCUUUUCUAGGUAGUGUGUUAGAAAAGGGGGAACAGUAGAGAGGCAGGCAGAGAGAGACAAGGAAAGGAAACUAGAAAGACAGAAAGGGAGAGUGCCUGGUUUGUGUAGUGAUAUUUUUUUUUUCCCUCCAAAAAGAGAGGAGAGAGUUCCUUGUCUGAGGGUAGGGGGCUGCCGGCUCUGAGGGCUAAGGAGUCUGGGGGCUUAAAAAAUUGGGUCUCUGAGCCUAGGGUUACUAUUUGUAGGGCCUCAGGAAGCUGGAAACUUUGGAGCGGAGCAGCUUGAUGAAGGAUUUUGGCAGCAUCUCCUUGUGUUUCUCUGUGUACUUGAAGUAGUUCUGGGGGUGGGCUAGCACCUCAAAGAAGGCCUUGAUGAGCUUCUUGUCCUGCAAAGGAUGGCAGGGAGCAAUGUCAGCCUCACCGUCGGGGGUGGGAAAGAGAAACACCAUGACUCAGCAGCCCUUCUUGAUGUCUACUAGGCAUCCUAUACUGAAUAUAUCCAGAGGGCAACUCUGGAUUCCCAUUCCCACCAUCUGCCCUUAUUCUGGAAUUCCACAACUGAAUCAGUGGCAGCUCCAUCCUUCUGUUGCUUAGGCCCCAAUCCUUGGAGCCAUCCUUGAAUCCUCUUUCUUGCUUACAAGUAUAGCAAAUCCUAUUGACUCUACCUUCAAAAUAUGUCUGGGUCUGACCACUUAUCAUCUUCCCAAGCCACCACUGUCUCUGACUUGGAGUACUGUAGUAGCCUCCUAACUGGUCUCCAUGCUACCUUUGUCCCUCCGUAGACUCUUCUCCCCACAGCAGCCAGAGUGACUUUUUGUGUUUUUAAUUAGUUCAUCUUUUUCCUGUUUGAAACUCUUCUCUGGUUUCUUUUAUCACUCAUUGGCAGAAUGUGAUCUGUAUCUUGCUUUCCACCUCCACUCUUGCUCCCUCUGCUGAGCCACACUGGCCUUCUGGAGGUUCCUGAACACACUAAAUUGCUCCCAUGCUCCUUAGCUUGGAAUGCUCCUCCCUCAUCUUCUAAUGGGGAGCCCUUUUACCUCAUUUGGGUCUCUUCUCCUUAGAGGCCUUUCCUGACCACCCUGUCUACAACAGUAGCAUGGUAUGUGGAGAGCCUACUAGGUGCCAGGCACUGUGCAUUAAAACUCAGGUCUUCUGGCUCCUAGGCUGGUGCUCCUUCCAUGGCGUCAGUGGAUUUUUCAAAUAAGAAGUAGGGGUUUCAGCCUCUUACCCCACUUUAAUCAGAACAGCUGCACUGCUUUAUGUGUUGGAAUUCCACAGUACAUUUGAUUUGAAAUAAGGGUUCAGAUGCUUUAAAAAUGUUUGAAAAGUAUUAUUAAAAGUAUAUUCUUUGAAGUCUGCAAGUUCUAGGUGAUUUUUGUUGUCAAGGCUUUUAUUUUGAUGAUAAUAUAAAAAUAUUUUGCUAACACUUAACUUUUUUGCAGUGAUAAUUUAUGAAGGAUAAUUCUAUGACUACGACUAUAGUUUCCUUUUUUUUUUUUUUUUGAGACUGAGUCUAACUCUUGUUGCCCAGGCUGGAGUGCAAUGGCAUGAUAUCAGCUCACUGCAACCUCUGCCUCCCCGGUCCAAGCAAUUCUCCUGCCUCAGGGUCCCGAGUAGCUGGGAUUGCAGGCGCCCGCCACCACACCCAGCUAAUUUUUUGUAUUUUUUUAGUAAAGACGGGGUUUCACUAUGUUGGCCAGGCUGGUCUGGAACUCCUGACCUCAGGCGAUCCACCCGCCUCAGCCCCCCAAAGUGCUGGGAUUACAGGCAUGAUCCACCAUGCGCAGCCAGACUAUAGUUUCUUAAGGAAGAUUUUCUUAAAUUGGGAUUCACCGACCCAGGGCAUCUAGUCCAUUCUUCCAUGUUGGAAGUAUUUAUUUUCCUUGAAAAGAAGUCUGUACAUAAAUUGAUUCUGAGAAAGCUGUGCUAGAUCUGCCGCUGCUUUUUUUGUUUUUGUUUUUUUGAGACAGGGUUCACUCUUGUCACCCAGGCUGGAGUGCGAUGGCGCCAUCUCGGCUCACUGCAACCUGCGCCUCCUGAGUUCAAGCAAUUCUCCUGCCUCAGCCUCCUGAGUAGCUGGGAUUACAGGCGCCUGCCACCGCACCCGGAUAAUUUUGUAUUUUUACAAAAUUAAGACGAGGUUUCACCAUGUUGGCCAGGCUGGUCUCAAACUCCUGACCUCAUGUGAUCCACCCGCCUCGGCCUCCCAAAGUGCUGGGAUGACAGGCGUGAACCACCACACGCAGCCUAUCUGCUGCUGCUUAAUGAGGCCUGGGGAGAGAAUAGGGGAAGGAAGGGACUUAUGCAAAAGUAUCUUUCUAUACUUCACUUUCCCUAUGUCUCUUGGAAGAGGUAGGGACAUUUCUUCUCCUCACUUUCCCUUUCUCUUCCAAGUUUUCCCCAAGGUGUAAUAUAGUGUGGGUGACGCUGCAGUCGGAUAGGCUUGGGCUCAAAUCCCAGCUUCCCAUGGGGCAGGUUCUUUAACUCUCUAUACCCCAGUUUUCCCAUCUGUAAAGAAGCAAUGGAGAAAGCACCUACCUCAUAGAGCUAUUGUGUCUAUCAAGUGAGAAUAUUCAUGUAAGCACUUAGCCUAUUGCCUAUAUAUUGUUACAUGCUUAUUAAAUGUUAGCUAUCAUUAUUGUUAAUAUUCAUUCACCUUUAAAAUCUCCUGGUGGUUUUCAGAGGCAUAGAGCCGGCCAUCUCGCACAAUGUCUUCUACCAGCUGCUCAUAGUCCUCUGCAAAGUCAACCAAGGUGAGGGGCUCAGGGGCGGGAGCUCUUCCUGCUCUCCUGGUUCCCUCUCAAAACUGACAUACCUCCCCUUCUCACCCACCUCCUUGGCUUACCAUCAUAGGUAACAUAGGGAAUCUGGAAGCCACGGGCGCUGUUGGCCUCGCUUGUCUUGAAGUUGAUCCAGAGCUUCCUGGAACGGGCAGUGAAGGCAAUGGGACGCUCGUAGGUCUGGCAGGUCUCAUAAGUGGUAAUGGAGGAUGGGGAUGCUGGGAAGGCAAGCAGCAGGUCAGUAGAGCAGCAGGGCAGGCUACCCAAGCCCUCCUAGAACGUGGGCUGUACAGCUGGUGGUGGGGGUAUAGGGCAAGAGAAUCAUUCUGACAAAGGCUCCCCCUUCGCAUACACACACCCUACCCCACACCCUCUCCCAUUGCCCACUGGGCUCAUUCCACAAUUCCUCCUUGAUACCUGGGCACUCACAUAGUGUAAUAAAUAUGACAUUUAAAUGAAUGGAAUGGCAAAAAUGCUAGGAUAGGAAAGUGAUACAUGUAACGCCAUUGGAGUUCUAGCCCCACUGCUAGCUUUCUUAACUCUGUUUUCUACCAAACAUGUGUCAUUGCUGUUUUCCUUUGUUAGCUUCUCUCUUCCUAAAGGCCUCUCACUAUUUCACCCUCAUAGAUCCCUAACUUCACUGCCCCAUUUCUUCCUGUAUCAGUCUCUCUCUUUGUUCUCCGCCUUAACCAGAUUUGGACUGCCCUUCCCUGGCCCAGCUCUGCAAGCCACCCACAGUUCUUUCUCAUGACGAGGACGUCCCCACACUCAUCCUCAGAUGGCAGGAAGAUCUCUGGUACCACGAUAAGGAUCUUGCGCUUGGGUGGGGGGUUGAUGUUCCAGAUGCACUCCACACCAGCUGGGUAGUUGCCCGGGUAGUUGGGGGACUCAAUAUAGCCAGUGAACUCACCCAGCUCCCCACCACACUGACGAUCUGCAGCCAAACCCCAGUGGAUAAAACAAGACAGAGAAGGGAAGUCAGUGGGGAAGUGUGCUGGGGGAAUUGAAGAGUUCUGAAGUAGAGGUCAGACAUUUAUGGGAAGUCUGCGUUCUAGUUCAUCAUUAUUUUCCAAGCUCUGAGUCCAUCUUCCUUCCUGCCCUUUUAGUACCUUCUCUUCUCACUUCACCUGUCUCUGCUUCCUCAUUAACUGUCUCCAGGGAGAGGGUGUUACAGGGUCCAGCCUAGCAACUGGCCUUGAGAUUGAGUGAGUUGGGGAGAGGUGGAAGGUGGAGUUUUCCUGCUCCUCCACCCCCCAGCCCUGCUCCCUGUUGGUUUCACACCCCUCCUUUAGAUGUCCACUGCUCCCAGGCCUCUCUCCUCCCUUUUGCACAGCCUGGCUUGCCACGUACUCUUGCAUUGGGCCACACUGGUAGAGCCAUCAAAGUCUGUGCUUGUGUUUCCUGGACAGCGGCUGCAGAAGUUCUGACGGAAGUCGGGCUGAUAGGAGCCCAUGGCACAGCGAAUACAGCGGUGGAUGCUGGUGUUGUAGUAGUGCCCUGGGGAGCACUGGACUGUAGGCAAGGGAGAAGGGCAGGAAUCAAGAUGGUAGGCAGGUGGGAGUUACGGGGCAUGGGAUGGACAGGAUACAUUCAUCCUGGAGAAUCAGGAGAUCAGAUACAUCAAAGUUCUUUUCUAGGGUCUCAAUCUUUCCCAGUCAUGCCAGAAUUUAAGCCCACGGAAAAACAGAGUUUACAGAGUGGUUGGCUACAGUGCCAAUCCUUUUCUUUCAGACGCUGAGCACAGUGCCAAACCUAUAUAGAAACUCAUUUGGGAUAUGGAGGAGAAUAUGCCACCAGUUCUCCAAAGUGGAGGGGUAAGUGGGACUGUUAAUUAUUUCUCAGUUCCCAAGCUUGGGACUAGUGGAGGGGCAGGGUGGGUCCUGGAAGCAGGAUGGUAUGGUUGGUCAAGUAGCUGGGCCCAUUACUGGUUUGGAGAAAAUGGUGGGUCAGUGUCCCCUCUGGGAAAUUGGAGAGUUUUUUGGGAGUAGUUGGGGUUGGGGCAUCCCCCAGGGAGGUGAGUAGCUUACUCACCUUUGGUGUCACAGUCUUGGAAGGAAAUGGCCCCUUCAUGCUUGGUGGUGAGGCCCCCACCACAAGGGAAGCAUAGGGUCCGUCCUGCUUCAGGUUGGUAGGUGCCACGUGGGCAUGGCUGACAGGGCUUGAACCCAUCUACAGAGUGUUGGCCAGGUGGGCACUGACCUGCAAUGAAUCAAGGGCCCAACUCUGAUGGGGAUGGUCCUGAGUCAUCCCCAUGGGGUCACCCGAUCUCAGGGGACAAAGGUAUACAAACAGGAUGUUGACUAAGAGAGUGGCCUGGAGCCUGGGCCUGCCCUUUGGGAAAUCCCAUGCCCAUGGGCAUCCCAGUGCCCACCCUACCCCACUCUGUAUUGUUUGUUCCCCUGGCACCUGCACACGUGGUGACGUUGGUGGCUCCAAGAGGCCCGUGGGCAUCACUCCCAGGGCAAAGGUCGCAGGAGAGCUGCCCUUCUCUCUCCUGGAAGGUGCCCGCUGGGCAUGGCACACACUGCUCCGUCUGGCCGUGGUAAUACGUUCCCUGCGGGCAGCUGACUGAGGGAGAGUCGGCCGCGCUAGCCACCCACCCCCGCAUUUCCCACCACCCAGGCCUGGGACUCCCCUUCCCACUCCCCGCCACAACCCCCGAUUCAGGGAGAAUCUCUGUCAGGGAACAAACACAAUCCUACUUGGGGGGAUAGGAGGGUCAAAACCGUGUGCAGGAGGAUUGCUGGCCCCACCUGGCAUCCUUCUAGAUUUCAGCCUGGAACCAAGGAAGGGAGGACAGCGGGCAGGAGCAUCCUGGCUGCCUCAUAAUUUGAGAAAUGCAUCUGAGGCCACAAAGGGUCCUGCUCUGAGUCAGGCCCAAACUGGGUCUUUCCUACAUCCCUGCUCCCCAGUAAGCUCCCUUACCACACUUGGUCCCAGCACGGUGCUGCCCGGGCCUACAGGACUCCAUCGGCUCUGCUCGCUCCCCGGCUACCAGGCCCGGCUUGUGGGCCAGCUCAUAAUCAAGGCCUGCCAGGCGCAGCAGGAAGCGGUCCUGGUUGAUGGACUUUCUGAGCAUCUUCAGGGAUCCUUUCAGCCGCCGUUCCAUUCGCUGUCGGAGGCAGGGCAGCCCACAGCUGGCUGGUGGUGGAUGGCCGUGUGUAUCAGGGAGGAGAAAGAGUUGCUGUGAGCAGGAGGGCAGGGGAGCAAAGCUGGGAGCUAGGAGGGGCAUGGUAAGAGGGACUAGCUUUUAGGCUUGGCACCAGGCAGGGUCUGCCCCUAGUACAGGCUCCAUCCCUUCCUUUUGCUGCUGAGACCUGUGGUUUCCCCACCUCUGCCCUCCCCUUCCAGUCCUCUUCCCAACAGUGCCCCCAGUCCCACCUGUGGUUUCUUCGGCUCUGACCUCUGCCUCCAGUUCCAGGGUGAGCCUUGUGACCUCUUUGCCUGGAGGGGUCCGGGCCCGUCGGCCCUUGCCCUUCCGAGAGGAGUCACACUUAAGGUGGAUGAAGGUGACCUGGCAUUCAGAGCAGGGGGCACCACCUGGGAGAGAGGGCUUGUCAACCCCAGGGACAUCCCCUGGAAAGUUCUCACUCCCAGCCCAGACAGACCUCCCCAGAUCUCUAACUGUAACUAUCUCUCAAUCCUGUUUUAGUCUAGGGUCCUAAUUAGUUGGUGGAGGGGAAUAUUCUGGGACUUCCUUGGGUGCUAUGCCUACAGCUGCUUUUUCCUCUGCUCUGCCUAGAGUUCAGGGUUCUGGUGGGUUUUUGGAAGCAGAGGAGCUGAGGGGUAAGGAGGAUUUAGUGGCCAGACAGCCAACUGGAAUGGGGUCCCCAGUCCAAACCUGGCCCUGUGAUUCUGCCAGCCUCCUCUGUUUUGCCUUUGUUUCGCAGGUGCAAACGGCAUUUGGCAUCCUUGAUCUUGAAGGAGGCCCGUUGUUUAAUGGACAGCACUGCAGCCUCUAGAGGGAUGGUAGAAACUCAGCACAGUAUGGGAUGCCCAUGGAGGUCGGGGGUGCCGUAGGGGUUGUUGAGAAGCUGGGUAAUAAGCCAGGGGCUUGGCUGGGGGAGUGAGAUUAUGAAAGUCAAGGGGAUCAGAUGUUAGGGCAGAGGGAGUGAGGGAGCAGGGUUGGAGAAUUACAGGGCAAAAAAGAGGAUCCAGGAGAAAGGAAGGCCAGGGGAUUGAUGAAGAACAAAAAUAAGGGAUUAAUGUAAGAGAGUAGGGUGGGAACAGGGCUUCUGGGCUGGUGCUUACCAUGGCAGUGGUUGGAGUUGGUGCUGUUCCCAUUGUGGCCAGCUCGGGCUGGAGCAGCCCUGGGGCUGGGGGUCCCACAGCUCACCGUGAAGCCAUUCUCAGACUCUGAGAAAAGGAGCCUGUCACAGUUCUGACCUGCCUUCCCAACCCCCGCUGGCUGGAGGAAUCCAGGGGGAAUGAAGGAGCUGCCUGAACGGCCAGUCCUUCCUCUUUUCUCCUCCAAAGCUCUCCAGCACCCUCCUCCCAUGUACCUGGCAAAAAUCGGGCCCUGGAGGGACAGGUCAGGGCACAGGUGUCCUUCUUGCCAGACCGGUUGCAGCUGAGCAUGGCUUUCGAGGCCCCAGGACUGCCCUGACACUUCAGUGGCUCUAGGAAGGGGAGAGAGGCCUGAGCAAAUGAAUGCAUUCCUUUCCCUCAGUUGGGUAAUUUGGAGGAAUCAGCUACUUGCAUAACUAUUGUUGUACCCAUGGAGACUGAUGAUGGGAUUGUUUACUACAAAUUUCAUGUCUUUAACUCAAAAUGGCUACAUUCUCCACCCUUUCCACCUCACACCUUUCCCCAAUGUGAUACUCUAUGCUUUCCAGAACCCCAACUGCUCCCUGAAAUGGCAGUGUCAUCUUUGGCCAGCAGAGGGCACUGCCCACCUGUGCAAUCUUUGCCAUUCCAGUGCAGCCGACCCUGGCCUGCUGGGCAGGUACACUGGUAGCUGCCAGGAGUGUUGAUGCAGCCAAAGCGGCAACCUCCCCGGUUGAUGCUGCAUUCAUCCACAUCUGGGGGAAGGAGUAGGGAGACAGAAAAACAACGAUGGAGUUGGAGGAGGAGCCGGAGAGUAGGCAGUGAGUGAGGGCCUUUGGUUAGAGUUUCAGGUACCCUGCAUUACGCAAGAUGAAUAAGUUCGAGAGAUCUACUGUACAACAGUGUGCCUAUAGGCACAUAAAUACUGUAGUGUACACUUAAAAACUUAAGAGGGUAGAUCUCUUGUUAAAUAUUCUUACAAUUUAAAAAAGUUAAAAAGGCAUUCUAGGCACUGUAAGAUGACUACUGGCCUGAGAAGAGCUCAAACCUCCUCCAAUUAUCUCUGUCCCCAAAGGAAUGAUCGAGAAGGGGCCAAGCCAACAAGCUUUUUAAAGCCUUCCACUCCUCCCAACCAGUGAGACUGUCAUUUGGGAGCUGAGAGUGGGGGUUCAGGGACAGUUAUAGGAAUGGGAGAUAGGAAUUUUGGAGGCAGGAUGCUGUUUCCGCAGUCUCCCAGUUCUUCAAAAGCUGUCUUAAUUCCUCCUAUUUUGUCACAGCGGAUGCAGACAUGGUGCAUGCAUCCAGGGAUUGCCCAUAGCCACAAGCCAACACAAGGACCUGUUCAAUUGGAGGGUGAAGAGGUGAGGGGGCCAGGGUGGCUGGGGGUGCAAGCUUACUAGCUUACCCCCACAGUGGGUGAUACCAUACAACAGGUAGCCACGAUGGCAGAGACACUGGAAGCUUCCUGGUGUGUUGACACAUAUGUGGUCACAGGUUCGAUCAAAGGAACACUCGUCUAUAUCUGGAAGAGCAAAGAUUCAAGCCACUGAAUCUGUCUUGGAGCACUUGACCCUUGCUCAGGUGAAGGACCCAAGUGAGGGGCCUUGGCUUUCCCCCUUGAACUGAAGAGUUCCUAUUCAUGUCCUAGCUCUAGGACCAGUGAUUUAACAAUGCCAUUCCAUCUUCUCUGCCCCCUCUAUUUGAAGUCCUUGGAAUUAGGAACUGCAAGAUCUGGUGCCUUUAGGUCAGGGCCCACCAUGUGUGGUUAGGUACGUCCUACUCUGCCAAGGAUAUGAAUUGGGGUGAAAUCCAUCCCUCAGUCCUUGCCAGGCUGAAUGCUUUGAUAUGGAGCUAGUCCGCUGAGGGGAAAGAGUACCAUUUGCUAAUUUGCAGGAUGACACUGCCUCUAGAGACUCUGUGUGAUAUAUGCAAAAAUCAAGGAGUCCUGGGCCUGCCUCUUCUUGAUCUCUCUCUGUCUCUUUCUCUUUCUCUUUCCUGUCUCUCUCUCUCUUUCCUGUCUCUGUUUCUUCCCUGUUCAGGGGAUCUGUGGCCAUUAGUAACACCCUCUCUUCUGGGAUUGAGUGUUCUUAUAAGGGGACAAAUUGGAACCAAAACUAGGAACAGGCCCUCAGGGAAUUACCUAGAGGAGGGGCAGGUGGGCAUUUGACCUAACAGGCUAGCCCUUAGUCUCCAGCUGAUGGCCAUUCCCUGAAAGGUUGGUGGGUAAGGGUUAUCUCUUUCCUGUCCCUCAGGACGGGGGGUUGGGGGGGUGCGGGGCAAGGAGAGGUGGAGGGUCUAAAGGGACUCACUGAAAACGGGCAGCCCUUUAGGGAGGAGGAGGAGCUGGGAAAGAGGCCAGGCAGGGAGGACCUCCAGGAGAGCCAGUGAGGCUGGGUAGCUGAUGGGGGAGGGCUGGGGGCCAGGCAAGGGGCUGGACUGGGAGAGAUCUGGAGAGACUCAGGCCUGAGGCAGCUUUCAGCACUAGUAAGGGAAAGGGGGGCUGGUGAAUGGCUUCCUUCCUGAGGUCAAGUUCCCCAAGCUGGUGGCAGACAGGACCCAGGCUACUCACCCCUGGUUGGGGGAAGGGGCAGGGAGGGCAGCCUUUCACUUCACUCUUAGCAUACCUGUCAACAGUUCUUCCCAGCAGGAAACCUCUCAACUCUGGCUGGCUGACCUGCUGCCCUAGCCUCCCCCCUCCUCUCGCAGCUGUUGGGCCAAAAGACACAAAGAACGAGCCCAGUCCUCCUCGUCCCCACUCCUUGUGACCAGGGGAUAUGGACCUAAUGAAUCAUCAUUUUCAGUAUGGCUACCCUGCCUUUUUCCUCCACCCUUUCCCCCCAUUCUCCCUCAGACCUGGCUAAUUAAAAGGAAGGGAAACAGAAUGCAUAAUGUGGGUAACUAUACUGUAAUAACAGUUAACACAAAGUGUUUCCAUUUGCCAAGCACUGUUCUAAGUACUUUUUAUGUAAUCACUCUUUUAAUCACAACACAGUAUGAGGCGAGCACUAUGGAAAACUGAGGCACAGAGACAUUAAGUGACUUGUCCAGGAUCACAGAGCUAGUAGGAGACAGGGCUGGGAUCUGAACCCAGCUUCAGUCCUCCUAACUAGUAUCCUACUCUCCCUUUGACCAGUACAGCCUUUCGAGGGGUAGACAUCAUUUCCCCAGAGCCCACUGGGAAGGUCUGAGGAAUGUGGGGUAAGAAGGUUAUGGAACACACCUGUGACCUCAUGCACACACACAGUCAGGGCUCAAAUAUCCUUCCAGACCCAGGAGCAAAUGUGAAUCGCAUGUCCAUUAACUAAGAGGGUUAGGGACCCAUGGGGGAUAGGAAUGAGAGUAGGGAAACAAGGUGGGGUAGGGGAAGGGGGCACUAAGGAACUGGCUGGACUUCUCUGUCCCUUGAACUGAGAUGAAACAGGCAGAUAGGAGACAACCCUUAGCUAUGUCCUGGGUUCUUCAUAAGAAGGAGGUUGAGGAGGUGUCAUCCCCUAAUAGGCACCCUAUCUCUGGUCCCAACCUCAGCCCCUUACCAAAGGUCACUCUGCUUCUGUCCUCUCAAAGUCCUUACCUUUGCACGUCUUCCUGUCUGGCUGCAGCAUGAAGCCCACAGGGCAGGUGCAGUGGACACCAGUCGCUGCAUCAUGGCACUUACUGUCACAGCCCCCGUUGUUGACAGCACAGGUCUCUGUUUAGGAGGGAAGUGGGGGAUGGUAAUGAGGUUACAAGCCUGGAGGAGUCCCAAACUCUGAGGGUAGUGGAGACCACAGAGGCCCGAGGGAAGGCCUCAGCUGCCUCUCUGUGCUUUAGAAGGAGCAUUAAGCCAAGGGAGGCUCCCAGCCCCUUUCCUCCCAUCACUCCCAACCCCCAUCCCCUCACAAGUACAGCCAAGCAGUCCACUUCCCUGCCCCCUACUUGAUUGAAACAAGGUGGACAGCAGUGAGGCAGGUACAAGCCAGAGCUGUCAGGCAGGAAUGUGCCGAGGGGGUGGAGGAGGUGGGGCGGGGGGCAGUAGGGAGGGAUGGGAGCUAAGUGAGGGUGGUUCUGGCUGCCAGGGAACCAGAAGGGACAGAUAGGAGUUUCUUCCUCUUUCCACUAUGUCUUUGGUGGGUGGGUGGGGAUUGUGGUGGGACAAUCUUAUUGUAAGUGGAUUGGAAAGAAUGAGCCGGGCCAUUCCUAAGGCAACUGAAGGAUACCCAUCAAUUUAUCUUCCCCUUCCCCGCUGCCUAGCUGUCUUAAGAAAGAUCCCACUUCCAGGAUCGACUGACUGCUCAUCCUCAGAGGAGGUAGCACAUACUGGGUUAAUCUACCUUCAACUCCUCCCAAACCCUCCUUUUAGUUCUAGAUGGAGAUAAGCUGGCUGUUUUGUUGUUUUACUCUGCUAAUGGGGAGAUGUUGUAUAGGAGAGGGGAGAAGCAAAAGAAAGAGAAGAAUCCAGAGGAGAAGGAAGGGUGUAAAAAGGUUAGUGAAAGAGUUAGAGAACCUCAGAGCUAGAUAAGACCUAAAUCCUUAUUUUAGCUAAGUCUCUUAUGCUGCUCCCUCUUAACUGGUAAGUUUUCCCUUUCACUAAAAGGUCAGAGUAGGAGGAGUGUCGAUGGGUCACUCUCCCUAUUUUCUGAAUUCACAGCAGGAGAAAAACAGGUUUAAAUGGUAGCUUGGGAAAGUCAGAUGUGUCCAAGGAAAAGCCAUUAGUUCAAACAGUGAAGGCCCCUGAUACAGAGACUGUGGAGGUGGUGCAUACUGUCCUCUUGGGGUGACUAGAAUUCUCCCAUUAGAGAGAAAGAAUCCCAAGACCUCCACUAGGGAAGAUAGAAGAAUGGUUCUCAGAAUCAAGGGAAUUGAAUAAGACCAGUACUGGAUGUACUGUCAUCUUCUUAAGUCUCUGACUCCCCACACUCAGGCCCAACUCUUGUCACCAAUGAGAACAGGAAGGCCAGGGCUCCAAAAGAAGCCUAACUCUAUGGGUCCCUGGCCAUGCCCUGGUCCCUCAAAUGCCCAUGUGUGGAACAGCCCAACCUGGAGUGGGAUAUCGUCUGUGCCAUUUCCACUUUAGUCUCUCCUGAGGCUCUCCAAGACCAUGGGAGGAACCUAGUAGGGAACAUUGAGUUCAGGUUCCAAGGCUAGCCACCCGCUAAAGAGUGCUUUUAGCAUAAGAAGAGGUCCACUAAGCCCAGGAGCAGGGGGAGGGGCACAGAGAUCUUAUGCCAAGGCCAGAUAGCUUCUGAAGGAUGUAGGAUACGGAAUAGCAGAGCUGGCACAAUGUCCAUCCCAGGCUGGACAGAAAGCUGGGCAUAGCCGCCCACCUGUGCAGGACGGCAUUCUUGAGAGCAGGGUGGGGCAGCAGGACCAUAUAGUCUCACCCCUUUGCUCUCUAGGUCACAAUAUUAAAACCACAAGUUACUCUGUGCUUAUGCUGUGCCAGGCACUUGCCAGGUAGAUGCUCUACAUGCACUAUCUCAAGCAUUACAACCCUAAGGAAGGACUGUUAUUUUAUAGAAAAGUAAACUGAGGAUCAGAGAGGAAAGUAGCUUGCCUAAGGUCAUACAGUUAGAAAGUAACAGAGCCAGGAUUCAAACUCAGGUCUGCCUGAACACACAUGCCAUGCUCUUAGCCAUUACGGUAGGAGAGAAUGGUGAGUGAUGCUGGGACUGUGAACUAAUGUGGGUAAGAACCCAAGAAAGAAGCCCCAAGGAGGGGAUGGCAUCUAAUCCUAUCGCACCCCUAUCUCAGGUGGCACAGUGGGCAUGACAGGGAAGAUGAGGCUGGCUGGGUAGAGGGGGGUGGGGAGCAGAUGGCUGGGAGUGGGGUGGGGUGUUAGAAGGUGGGUGUGGGAGGAGACAGCAGAAGAGGAAGGGCAGAAGGAGAGUGACAGGAACAAAGACGAGACCAACAUGAAAGCUCCCGGGCCAGCUCUUAGGGACUCAGGUUUCUUGUCACCCAAUGGGCCCAGUGCCCUGGCUGCCAGGAUAGCCCUGCUGGCAAGUUGGGGCCCAGUCAGGCUGGGCCCAGUGGGCAUGCAGUUAGUGGGAGCCCCAGCGGGUUAGCCCUUCCCCUAGCAAGCCAGUGAGAGCAAGCGGAGAGAGCAGACAUAUUUACCAUUAGAAACGGCUUGAGUGGGGAUGUGCUGCUCUAGCCGCCUUUCCCCUGUUUGACAUUGUAAAAAAGCUGUUUAGGUGCUGGGCAGAAGCCACUGUGGCCCUCUGGCCCCGGACCCCUCCCCACCCUCUCCUCCCCACUGCCAGCCCAAACCAGUAGCCCCAAAUGAUGAGCCCUGGGACCCUUAUGACAGCUUCACUCCUCAUCCUUAUCCUGUCUGGUGGUAUCCCCAAAGAUGCCAAGCUCCCCGCAAGUGACUGAAAAACUGAAACAGUCUCAGAAAGGGCAACCAACCAUGUGCCCAGUACCACAGAGCAUGCUCAAGCCUAAGCUGGGAUGCACCCUCAAGUCUUACUAACCACAAAAUCCCAAAUCCCAAAGGGUGCCGCCCUUUCUGCUAAACUAUACUGCCUUCUCAGUCUUCCCACCGAAUCUGAAUGUCCUGACGGCCCCAGGCAAUGAUGUUUCCUCUUACCAGGGAUGGCCAGAAAAAUUAGAUAUAUGGCAAGGUAAAAUAAGUUCUAUUGGAGAAGAGGAAGAGGAACUAGGAAAGAAUAUAGCUGUAAACCCCAGAAUAGCCUCAUUUGGUCUUUUCUGCCUCAUUUGGCCUUUUCUGCCUCAUUUGGCCACAGCCCAGUGGUGGAACAGGUCUUGAGUUAGAGAAGAGCCCAAGCUCAGUAAGGGUGUUUUCAGAAGCAACCAUGUCUGGAACUUUGAACAGAAAUAAAUCAGAGAGGGAUCAGACCUUCACAUCCCUGGCCCCUGACUCAUGCAUCUUUUCUUUGGGCACUGCAAACAAUUUCUUUUGAGAGACUGGGGAUGUGUGAAUGUGUCCAGGAGGUGGUGAGAGCUUUGAAAAGCAAAAUAAUUAGACCUAUGAGUAAAAAAUGAAAGGAGCUGAAACACACCAGCCCAAAGAAGGCAAUGAGAAGAGCCUAAAAAUGUUCUGGGGUCUUUGAAGAGUUAAUUCAGAGGGAAACGUGGCAGGGGAGAUUUUAAUUAUAUAGGGACUUUAGAAAUGGAUGUGCCAGUCUCUGGAGCAAGUGCCUGAGGGAGCCCUGUAAGAGCAUCAUCUGCUCUCCAGUUCCUAUUCCUGCAGUGAAAGGGACAGGUCCCUGGAAAGUCUAGUUCCUCAGUUAAUGUCAUGUCUCUGAUAUACAUAACUUCAUACACAGUGACUGGAUUCACACACCCCCAUCCUCAGCAUGCCACAGCCCACCAGAUGGACAGUCAUUCAUAAACACCUAUGCCCACACAGCAAGCUCAUGCCCUGCCUGGCUAAAGACACAGCCUCUCUCUCAGCCAAACCUCUUCCUUUCAUUUCCCCCUUCUCCAAGGGGAAACCUUGUUCCAUCAUCCUUCUCAGCACUAAAGACCUAAAGGCUAAAGGAAUUAGGAAUUAACUUUAAGGAAUUAAACUCAUCUAGGGUACCUGAAAAUAUGUGAGAUAAGGCCUAAGAAUUCAGGAAGAGGGAUCCAGGUAUUAAGAGGACCUCAAAUCAAGGUAAGAGAUGGAAGGCUGGAGUUGGUGAGGAAGAAACAGGGUUGCUGGUGGAGCUGAGAGGGAGUACCACUGGCAUCUGGAGGAGAGAGAAGGAAAUGGGGGGUAAGGUGAGGUGAGUAGAAAGGGGAGUUGCAGGAGGAGAGUGAGGAGAGAAGGAAUAAAGAGGAAAAAGAUACCUGGAGCCAGGAAACCCCAUCUGUCAGUCAGUUCAGGGAUGGUUGUUCCAGGAAGGAGCACUCUGUCCCACCCUCAGUUGCAGAGUGGGGACACUGGGCUUUGAUAAUUCCUCUGUUAUCACACUAGUCAACCAAGGGCCUCUGGUCAGGCCUAAGCAGAUGCAUUUCCCCAGAUCUCUUCCCACUUCUCAACUACAGCCUUGGUCAAUAAGCAACUCUGCUAAUUAUUCCCAGUUUGGCAACACUUUGUCCUGGGAUGAAGAGGGUGGUGAGGCUCCUGGAACAGGGUGGUAAAACCACUGGGAUGGGGAGGGGAAGAGGGCUGGGGAGCCCUUCAGUCUCUCUUUGAGUUGUCCCUUACUAGACCUGGCAUUUUCUGGGUCUUAACUCCCUCACCAGUCCCUCUGUGCCCAGCACCUGGGCCCCAUGCACUCCUCCACUUCCCUGGUUCCCAAAGGGUCCCACCCCCACCCCAUCUCAGGUGGACUGAGUUCUCCCCUGGCCUCACCCACCGAUGCAUGUCUUCCCGUCGGUAUGGAGCACAAACUUGAUAUGGCAGCCGCACCGGGGACCCUGCUCUGUGUCAUCACACGUGUGCUGGCAGCCGCCGUUACCAUAGUUGCAUGUCACUGUGCACAGAGAGGACAGGGCCCUGUCAGCUUGCUCCUCCCUGCAUCCACAGUUUUCCACAAUGUGGGUACUGGCCCCCUUGCCUAGUUGCCUCCCCCAUACUCCCUUUUCCUCCCAGCCCUGUCCUCUUGCUCCUGAAGCCCUAUACCCUUCCUCUAUGUUUUCACCCCCGACCCCACUGCCCCACCUGCCAUCCCAAUUAUCUCACAUUUACAGUCCCGUUGGUUCUUGGUAAGCUCAAAGCCAGGACGGCAUUCACAGGCAAUACCCCCCUUGGGUGUCUCCCGGCAAAUGUGGGCACAGCCGUGGUUCUUGUUCAUGCAAUUCAUUCCUUCUAAAAGAGAAGAAAGGGGUGUGAAUGCUCUGUACCCCUGGAUGUCUAGAAAAGAAAAACUACAGGGGGCAACUGGGGACCUAGGGAACUGGGAGAAUUCUACUGAGGUUGAAUUCAACACGAGGGGACUGACUCUCCUUGUCCCAGGCCUCCUGUCUUCCCCACAGACCUGGGUGCUCAUGAGCAGAGCACAGAGCUGUUCUGAAUGAUGUAUAACUAGCUAGCUAUUGAUACUCAUCCCAACGAAUGAUCACCCUUUCCUUUAAACAACCAAAACAUUGUGUAUAAUAGGUGUCCAGCACUGUGCUGGAGAUGGGGUGGAUUUAGGAAGGUCCUAGAAAAAUACAAGGUGUGAUCACUCCCCUCAAAGAGCUUACAGUCAAACUGGGAAGAAGAUCAGUAGCAAUCAGAUCUACAAUGAGAGUGGAGGGUAAUUGGUAUAGAUAUUUACUAUGCAAUUUUAUUCAACAAACAUUUAUUAAACUCUCACUACACGCAGGGCAGUAUGUUAGGUGCUGGGGAUACAACAAUGAGUUAGACAUAGUCCCUGCCCUCAGGGAUGUCACAGUCUAGUGGGAGUGGGGGGCAUGAGUCAUAGAAACAGCCAAUAUAAACCCAUUAUUCCUGCCUGACCCUCCCAUGCCAAUCCAAGGAAAAAGAUAUGGUGAGGCCCUCUCAGAUAGGCAGCAGCUUAGAGAAGCUCAGCCAUCUACAAUUAGGGACAACAUCCACCUCAGGUCUGGACACAGAGGAUACUCCAUAGUAGCCUUAAUCCCAUAUUGAUCCCAACCUCAAAGUAAUUUCCCCAGAUUUUGCCCUAACAGGGUGUCUGUUCCUAGAUCCUUUAGGGUGUGAUUGAGUUGAAGGACAAGAGAAGAAGGAGCUAGCUGAGUUGAGAAUGGAGGGUGAGACUUAGGGGCUGCUGAGGGACAGCUGGGAAGAGAAGCCUGGGGAGGGCAGGGAUGGGGCCAUCCCAGGUCAUGGGCUGACCUUCUGGCCGCUGGAUACAGGUAUGCUGGUUGUCGCUGAGGAAGAAGCCUUCCCGGCAGUGGCACUCAUAGCUGCCCAUCAUGUUGACACAGCUCUGCUGACAGCCGCCGUUGCCCUCGGCACACUCGUCCACAUCUGUGCAGGAUAGGUAGUCAGUGGGGUCAUGGGGUACAGGCAGGGUCCAGGGUAUAUCCCAAGACUUCAGCACCAAAGGCAGUCUUAAGAACUACUACCCCCUAAGCCCAGCCUUAAGCCAGGAAGUCCUCACACCCUUGUCAGCUAAUAUUUCACUAAGUGUAAAAAGGCUGCCCUGAGGGCAGAGCUGGGAAGCUAAGCAAGUGGGGGAAAAGGGGACCUUUGAACCUCAAAUGUCACCUAGGUGAAGCCAUGCCUCCCUUUCCCUCACCUGUGUAAACUGGGUAUGAAGACAGAGGACACCAGGAAAGAAGCCAGAGAAAGAGGAACAGUGAUGAAGGUAAGGAUGGAGAUUGGUCACAUUGGUCGGAUAGGUAACUGGGGGUUGCAGCUGGUUGCAAUGAGCAGCCAGGGAAUGUAGGAACCUGGGAAGUGGCUCUGGGUGCAGGCAGAGCUAUGGCCAUGGUGCUGAGGUUGGAGGGGCAGGGUGGGGAAAGGCAGCUGAGCCUCACCUCCUUGUGGAGCAGGGACCAUUUCUGUGGACAGGCCACAGCCCUGUCCUUCCUCCCCUCCCCCCUGUGCCUGGGCUUGCUGCCAUAUUCCCUAGCCUUUCUCCUAUUUUGGCUUAACAAAACAAAGUCUGACAACUUGGCGGGGAGGGAUCUGGGGAGAGCUGCCAGGCCACACCCUAGAUGGUGGGGGUGGGGGGCAGGGAGAACAGUAGGCUCUCACCCCCAAAUCACCACCCCUAGGUUCUAGAGCCAAGCUCACCCUGGAGCCCCCAAUUCAACACCUUGAUUCCAUCUCUAUGCUAGCUACUGCCCUCCCAAGUCCAUGGCCCUUCUCAGUUUGCCUUGGCCCAGGAGGCAUCACGUAGAUUGGUUGUCAAAUGGAGCAGCUAGAAUCUGGGCUCCUGAGGGCUUCAUCUGCCCCUCUCUUCCCAUCCUCUCUGCUGAGAUCCUGCAACCUUCUCUUCCCCUUCUGGCCAGGGCAGAGAGGCCCAGAUCCAGCUGGCUCUUGCCCAAGAGAUGCACCUGUUGGAAGAGCUAAGGUGUACUUUCCUGUGCUUUGCUCCUGUCUCUACCCUGUCUUUUGCUGUUCUCUUGACUUCUCCCCAUCCCUGUCUUCCUGCUCUUGCCACAUUCUACAUGCCAUCCUUCUGUCUGCUCCCUUACUAUCUAACCUUGUGGCUUUGCUACUCUAGCCAAGCUCUUUCCUCCAAUUCUCAGUGGGGAAGCUAAGGCCCAGAGCAUGGACAACUUUCUCAAAAUUCCCCUAAGAGCCAAAGGUAGUAUUGAGACUUUGAACCCUAACCCUAGGUAAUCUUUGUCCCUUGACCCUCUCUAUACCUAAUCAUUCUCUUGUCCCUCUGGUUGGUUCUCCCCAAAACACUUAUAGGGAAAUGAGAUGUGGUGACAAUCAGGGGCCUAGAAAAGUCAAAGGCAGCCAAAGAACUCAGAAGCUUAUGUGCAUGUCCUGUAGGCAACUCACUGUCCUGGUCUAAGUGCCACAGCUUCCCUUCCCAAAGGAGUUUCAUAAGAGGCCCUCAAGGGUGACUGGGCAGAUAUGAGGCCCUUCCCUGGAAGCUAAAAUGGUAGGAGAGGUGACCAGGGCUGGGAUUAAGGGCCCAGCAGAUAUCAGGGUUUGGAGGCCAGGGUUGGGUGUAGAAACCUAUAGCCUGGGUCCAAUGAUGGGUUAUGACUAGGUUUGGAGGCAGCUCUGCAGUAAGGAGGCUCUUCUCAGCCAAUAGGACUUAAGAGAAUUCAUCUAUUUGGUCAAUUGGUGGGUGAGGACCAGCCCAGCCUGCUUUUCUGGGCAUCAUUCCUUUUGUUUCUCUUCCUUUCCUGGUCCUUUAUGCUUCUAGUGCCUGUUUUCUGUUGUGGCUACAGGGUGAAGUAAUUUGGGAGAAGGCCCUGGGUUCAAAUUUCAAAUCCUUUUCUGCUAUGAGCUUCAGAUUUUCUGCUUGGGGAAGAGUCUGACUUGGUCCCAGUAAUUUUCCAAAAUGACAGAGACCAAAGUUGAGUUCAGUUCCUUAGAGAUUCUCUUAUCUCUGAUCCAGCUCCUGGGACAAAGGAGAUCAGUGAGGAGAGGGUGAGACUGGAGAUUGCAGGAAGAACUGGGAGAAAACAAGCCUGUAAGGGUCAGAGGCUUCCUGGGGCAUAGGGAUGCACUGUCGUCAUCAUCAAAAACAUUCUUCCCAUUACUGAGCUCCUACCAUGUGCUAAGGAUUGUACAGGGCUCUUUUCAUAUGUUGUCUUGUGGUGAUCCGCACAGCAGCCUUCAAGUGGGUUAUUACCACCCCAUUCUAUUUUAUUGUUAUUUUUUGAGAUAAGAUUGCUCGAUCUGGAGCGCAGUGACACAAUCACAGCUAACUGCAGCCUCGACUUCCUAGGCUCAAGCCAAGGAAGAGCUCCCAAGUAGCUGGGGACUACAGGUAUGCACCAUCAUGACUGACUAAUUUUUAUUAUUAUUAUUUUUUGUAGAAACAGGGUCUCACUAUGUUGCCCAGGCCUGUCUUGAACUCCUGGGCUCUAGCAGUCCCUCUGCCUCGGCCUCCCAAAGUGCUGGGAUUACAGGUGUGAGCUACCACACCUGGUCCCACCCCCAUUUUAGAGAGGAGAAAGAUGAGAUUUCCAGAGAUUGGCUGAUUUGCCCAAGACCCAAGGCUAGUAAGCAGCAGAACCAAGAUAUCUGUGUGGAGCCAAAUCAGCUUCCUACCAUGCCUCACCACUGGCUAAACCCACUAUUCCCAUCUCCUGGCCCUUGCCCUAGGAGCAUUUCGUAGCAGCUUUUCCUCUAAUGUUUUUCAUCCAGCAGGAUUUUUCAUCCUAAGUGGCCAGUCUCAAAGGGGAGGCUGACCUUAUUCUCUUGUGAAUGUAGCUCUUCUUGAUCACUCUCUCCUCCUUCCCUGGGAAAUAGGAAAUGCUGAAAAGAUCUCUUUCUCCACAAGACAUCCCUCCACCAAAUCCCCUCUCCUUUGCUUACCCAGACAGUUGUGUCCGUCAUGUGCCAGGUGGAAUCCAUCAUAGCAGGUACACCGGUAAUUGCCAGGGAUGUUGACACAGUCAUGCACACAACCUGCAUUAUCCUCUCGCUCGCACUCAUCCACGUCUGUGGGCAAAGGGAAGCUGAGACAGCUGAACCCACCUGCGAACCCACUGUCCACCCCCAGACUCAGCCUUAUGGUUGUGUUUACAUAGUUAUGUUCAUGGCCUAUAAGCCAUUUAGCAUUUUUCUGUUUUCAUUUAAACCUAAGUCAUGAACAUUUUCAGGUCUCCAUCCAGUCUUUCUAAUUACCAUUGUACAUGGUUGCAGAAUAUUAUUUUUCUAUUUUUUUCUCUAUUGUUAGAGAUUUAGAUUUCUUUAAUUUAUUUUACCAUCAUAGAUAAUGCAUCAAAGAACAUCUUCUCCCAUGUAUUAUUUUGUUACUUUGAAUAAGUCCCCAAGAGUAAAAUUCCUGGAUCAAAGGAAAUACCUUUUAAGAUUCCUGGUAGGUAUUACAAAAUUACUUUUCAAUUUAUAAUGCAACUAGGAAUUAACAAGUGUACCCUGUCCACUAAAGUCUCACCAACACUGAAGCUCAUAAAUUUAAUAUCUCAAGGCUACUUUAAUUUGCAUUGAUUUAAUUAUGAGGGGAAGAUGUGUUUACAUUAUGAACUUCCUCUGAAGCACACUUUCUGUUCCCAUCCAUUGUGGAUGUGGUGUAAGGGUCUAAAGAUAAAGGUUCCAAUGUCAGGGAACCUCAGGUCUUAGUCUUAUGAUUUUCAUGCUCCCACCCCAGCCAGGUUGUGGGCUGUGAACUGUCCCCACCAGGGCCUCUGCUAGCCUGCAUGGUGCCUUUGUGCAAAUUAGAAAAUGGCACCCUCUCUGGGAAGAUGCAGUUGCCCCCCUCACCACCCCCCCACCACUUGACCAGUGGAAUUUCUAGCCUUGAUGUGAUGGAGAGUGGCCAACUGAGGGCAGUGGCACUGGUUUGCCUUCUUCCACAGGUCCCUCUCCUCCAGGUGCCCUUCCAGCCUCACCUUUGCAGUGUUUGCCGUCCCCUGUGUAGCCAGACUUGCAGAUGCACUUGUAUGACCUCGGGGUGUUCUGGCAGAUAGCAUCGAUGUGGCAGUUGUCAGUCCCCUCCACACACUCAUCCACAUCUGGCAGGGGCAGAGGGGGCACAUGAGAACCUCUGUUGGCACCUCUUAAGGGGUGUCUUGAAGGUGGGCUUCCAAGGGCAGAAUCCCCUCUUCUCUAAAACAGAGGCAGUGACCCCCUCCAGAAACAGGUGCUGUCUCACAUCUCUCUGAUUUCAGAGUAGGCAGACACUGAUUUUGGGAAUUCAGAAGGAACCCCCACUGCCCUCAAAAAUACUAAAUUCACAGUGACAGCUAAAACUCCAUCAUUCGAAACACUCCUUUUUUUAUUUGAAAACAAACAAAAAACCCUUAGAGUGGGUAGUACACUUAACUUGAUUAGGAAUAAUCAACUUAAAGUGAAUGAGUUUACGGAGAAGGCUUAGAGGGAAAGUUAAGGGAAAAGGCAUGGGAACAGUGGUCUCUGGGAAGGUGGCAGGGUCCAGCAAUCACUAGUAAAGGAGGAAGAAAGGGGGAUGGGGCAUCUGAGGGAUCUUCAUCUGUGUCAUGAUUCUGCUUGAGACCAGGCCUGCUUCCACUUGCCCACCAUGGAGCCAAGAAGCUUUAGAGGAAAAAUGUUCCAUCCUGGAUGAUUUUCCUCGGCCCCUGUGCUGCCAACAAUGGAGACAUCCAGAGCUGGCAGAGGUUGGCACCAGCUACCUGAAGCCUAAUAAGUGCAGCCCUUCAGGCCCUAAUCCCCAGUGUUUAGCCCUCUGUCUCCUGGCCCUAGCUCUAACAAUAGGUGCUACACACACAGCUAUACUUGAAGGAAGAGGCCACUCACCAUCUAGCAAAAAAGAGGAUGGUUAGGAAAGGACAUAGAUGAUGCCAGGCGCGGUGGCUCAUGCCUGUAAUCCCAGCACUUUGGGAGGCCAAGGCAGGUGGAUCAUGAGGUCAGGAGUUCGAGACCAGCCUGACCUUGAUGAAACCCCAUCUCUACUAAAAAUACAAAAAUUAGCCAGGUGUGGUGAUGUGUGCCUGUAAUCCCAGCUACUCAGGAGGCUGUGGCAGGAGAAUCGCUUGAACCAGGGAGGCGGAGGUUGCAGUGAGCUGAGAUCGCGCUAAUGCACUCCAGCCUGGGCGACAGUGAGACUCUAUCUCAAAAAAAAAAAAAAAAAAAAAAGGACAUAGAAAAGAGUCCAACUUCUGAGGCAAUAUUAUGGUGCCCUUAAAUCUGAACUGAAAUAGAGAAACAUGUUAUUCAGUUGAAAACGCCUUAUUGAGUGUGUUUGUGAAAGACACUAUAAUGAUAGCUGUGGAGGCUCAAAGGUGACUCAGCCCAGCCAAAAGGAGAAACAAAAAACAUGGAGCAGAAUGUGGUACAUGCCCUGAAGACAUGAGAGAUAAGGUGAGGGGGUCCUCCACCCUGCACAUCAGAGUCAACUCUCCUAGGAGAUGUCCAAGCCACAACCCCAGAGAUUCUGGUCAGAUAGCCUGGACUGGUGCCGGGCCAUCAGUAUUUUUCUAAAGCUCUUCCAGUUAUUCUAAUGUGUAGUCAAGGUUGAGAACCUGUGUUACGGGGCAGAUCAGAGGAGAAAGAGAUUACUUCCAGCUGGAAACUGGGAAACCCAAAAUAGUGUCUUAAGUAGCAGCCUGCAAGUGAGUGAUCACUGAAUGGGAGGCAUUACUCUCCUGUGAUCCCACAACUGAGCACAGAAAGGAGAUGAGAUUUGACACCAAGACAAUUUGAUAUCCAAGUGUGAUCUAUGGGCCAUAGAAUUGCCUAGGUUUUAUUAAAAUGCAGAUUCUCAGGACUCAUUAUAGCCUUUUUGAAUCCAAAUCCUUAAGUGAUUAUUUUUACUGAGUGAAUGGAUGCAUGGACCAGUAUUCUCUCCAAUUUAUAGAUACCCAGAGUCCUAGCUUGAGACAGUUAUCUGUCCUCCGCUUUUAUACUCUGAAACUUCCUGGGGCUAAGAAGAGAACUGAAAUCCCCAAACACCCUGCCUCAAAUCUCACAGGUUUCCGUUCAGCUCUUCAUUCUACCCUUCAACUCCUAUGCAGCCAACCAUCAUACCAGUUGAUUCUAAGUGCUGGGAGCCUCUGUCUACACUUACUCUCCACCUCGCUCAGGCUCCAUAGGCAUGGUGUCUACCUGCUGGCCCAUCCUGGGAAGUCAUCCCAACGUGACAGAAUGGAAAAGAGAGGGCAUGGAAGACUAGUUCAUAGGUAAGGGCAAGAGGGACCUCGCAGAUGGUAAGGUGCUCUGUGGAGAAUCAGUUUGUCCAACUGAUAAACAGAAAACAGUACAAAGAAAUGUGCUAUCACAGAACGAUCUUAAGCACUGGAACCAGUCAGUCCCAGAUUCAAAUCCAGCUCUACCCUUCUCUAGGGAUGGUUUUCUUAUUCUCCAUCUCCUCCCCCUUAAAAUGGGGAUGAUAAUACCUCCUCAUGAGAGGCUGUGAGUAGCUGAUGGGAUAAUUUGUGUAAAUUGGCUAAUAAAGUAUCUGGUAAACAGUAGGGUCCCAAUACAGGAAGCUUGAGAUGGUAUUAAAUCACUGGUCAGGCAAUAGAUGCUCGAGACAGUAUGACAGCCACUAGCCACAUGUGGUUAUUUAAUUUAAAAUUCACUUCCUCAGUUGCACUAGCCACAGGCCAAAUGCGCAAUAGCCACAUGUGGCUAGUGGCUACCAUGGCGGAAAGCAUAGAUAUGGAACAUUUCCAACACCACAGAAAUAGCACUGCUAUUAGCACACCACAGGAUAGCACUGCUCUGGGGUUCUGAAUAAGAGAUACUCCCUGGGUCCAGCAGCACGGAUACUGGUCUGGAACUGCUCCCCUGACCAUAUCAGAGGUAUGUGCCUGUGACUGAAUCAGCUGGUGCUUCACUAGAGACUGUGUCAGACUAUAUGGGCUCCCAAUUCUUUCCUUUGCCUCCCAUUCAGUGCUCACCAGUACUAGAGUGGAUCUUGAUGCUGAUCACCACAAACCCAGGCCUCCCAGCAGAUUCUUUUUUUUUUUUUUUUUUUUUUUUUUGAGAUGAAGUCUCGGUCUGUCACCCAGGCUGGAGUACAGUAGUGGUGUGAUCUCGGCUCACUGCAACCUCUGCCUCCCAGGUUCAAGCUAUUCUUCUGCCUCAGCCUCCUGAGUAUCUGGGAUUACAGGCAUGUGCCACCACACUUGGCUAAUUUUUGUAUUAUUAAUAGAGACAUGGUUUUGCCACAUUGGCCAGGCUGGUCUCGAACUCCUGACCUCAAGUGAUCUGCCCGCCUUAGCCUCCCAAAGUGCUGGGAUUACAGGCGCGAGCCACUACACCUGGCCACAGAUUUUUUAGACCCCUCCUACAGCCAGACUUCUCCCACCAUCUAACUAACCCCUCUCCCUUACCUCCCUGCUCACAAUGCUUAUCCCUCUCCAGCAAAGAGUCUCUGCUCUGGAAGACAUUAUCUCUUCCUGUUCCCUCUACAAUACCUAACCAUCCUAUUCCUUUCUAUGCAUUUGCGUAUUUUCGUUAUUCACAUUGCAGAUGCAUUCCUCAUUUUUCUCUUCCAGCCACACUAUGCUCAGCUUUCCAUUCCAGCUCAAAUUUUUCUUCCCAAAAGCUCUUCCUUGUAAGCCCCGUUCCUGGUGAGUUCCUGGUCCAAGGGGACUGUUCUCCUCAGUUCAUUUACAGCCGUCACUGAAUUGCUCUGCUAAUACUUUAAAGCGUGUUCAGCUUUCCUCACCUGGCUGGGUACCUGCUGAGGAAGAUGUCCCUUCAAUGUUUGGUUGGAGUCUUUUGAAGCAGAACAGACCUAAGACAAAGCUGUGAAAGAGGGCCCCAAAUUAUACCCAGUAUCUCCUCCUUUUACCACUCAUUCUUCCAGAGUUCUCUCCUACCAUAUGUGCCCACCCAGAAUUUGUCCUUGCAAGGACCCUUCAACGCUCACAGCACAGUCUCAUCUUAGCCUGUUCUCUCAGGAUGCAGGUGCUUACUAGCUGGAAAACCAGUUGAUGCUACUGGGUGUGGACUGGUUUAAACCAGCGGUUCUCAACCCUGGGGCUACACACUGGAAUUCCCUGGGGGUUUUGAAAAAAAUGUGAAUGUACAGAUGUCCCCUAGACCAGCUGAAUCAGGAUCUCCAGGGUGAGGCUGUGGCUACUAUCUGUCUUCCUUUCCCAAGGUAAUGCCAAUAAACUAUUUGCCCAAGCUGGGAAGAGACCAGGGCAGCCACAUGACAGAGUAGUUAAGAGAGAGGUUCUGGAGCAACAUUGUCAGUUCAAUUGCUAGCUCUACCUGUGUCUGUGUGGUCCUGGGCCAGCCUCUGAACUUACCUGUUCCCUCCUCUGUAUGUGGGAAUAAUAUUCAUCAUAGUACCUCCCCAUGGGGCUUCCAGGAACAUCAGUUGAAUUAAUACCCAUCAAGUACUUAACACCACAGUGUGGGCAUAUAGAAAGUGCUCAACAAAGGUUUGCUAUUUUUUUCUUUCUUUUUGAAACAGAGACAGGGUCUUGCUCUGCUUAUCCAGGCAGGAAUGCAAUGGCAUGAACAUAGCUCACUGCAACCUCGAAAUCCUGGGCUCAAGUGAUCCUCCCACCUCAGCCUACUGAGUAACUGGGACUAUAUGCGCGUGGCAUCAUGCUCAGCCAAUUUUUUAAAAUUUUUAGAGGCAGGGUCUUGCUAUGUUGCCCAAGCUGGUCUCGAACUCCUGGAUUUGAACGACCCUCUCAUGUCAGCCUCCCAAAGUGCUGGUAUUACAGGUGUGAGUCGCCAUGCCUAGCCAAGGUUUGCUACUAUUAUUCCUUCUCUCCAACCUUCUCCCUGUAUUCUUUCUGAACUCCCUUUCCCUAUCAAAGCCCCAUUUCAGGCCUGGUGUGGGGAAAUGCAGCACCAGGUGAGCAUGUGUUGGUGGGGAGGAUUUGGGGAGACACAUCCCCACUGCUUACUCUACCUGUGCUGGGAACUGCACAAAGAAUGGGGGUGAAGUGGGUGAGAGGCCAGUUGGGAACCCAAAAGCUGUCCUCUACAAUUCUUUUUGAAGGCUAGGGAGAUCCCACUCCUACUUCAGGCCAUGCAUUGGAACCAAAGUUGAGGUGGGGGAGAGUGGUGGCUGCACAGAUACCAUAGACAAGCCAAGACCUCCCUGCCUCGCCCUGUCCUGGCAUGAAGGCACAGGUCUGUAACUACAGCAGCUUUUCCCAGUACCAUCUGACAUUUCUUCUGAAUUUGCUUUAGCGCCUAGCAGAGCACUCCAUAAACUCUCCUAAAGUAGGUAGGAAGGGUAGGAUGGGGUAUGGGAUAUGAGGGUCAGAGGGUCAGACCAGAAAGGGUGGAUUAUUAUAAAACAAGUAGUCCUAAGAUUCUGAGGAUGGGCAGGUGUACCCUAAAAGGGAAGCAGUGGGAUUCCCAAGUAAAUACUUCAUCUACUUCACAAGUUUGCCCAAGCCCAGCUCAGGAACAGUAACAAAUGGAAAUGAGCAGGGAUGCCGGCUGUGGACAAGCAGACCCCCUAGGUAGAGUCCACCCCACCUUCCCAUUACCACAGGAAUUAUUACCUUACCACCCAUAGGGGAGGGGGUAAUUGUGGGCAAAUUUGAUGGGCCCAGUGGGACAGUCAGAAACAGCCUGCCUAGAGCCCUAAUGUACCCACCCACAUAGCUGUGACAUCCUCAGCCCAGCCAGGCUAGCCCAGGAUAUAUGGUGUGUGUAGCGCACUCUGCUAUUUUCCUCUCCUUGAAUGUCCUUGAGGACCCAGUUCAGGUGCCUCUGCUGGGACACUCCCUGUGACACUACCAGCCUUCUCUGAUCUACUCUUUCUCUUGACUCCUAAGACUUACUGUCAGGCUCUCUGGUCACCUGAUCAAUCCCAGGCUUGUGAUACCUCAUAUGCUACCUUGUACCAUUAUUUAACUUUUAGUUCAUGUGUAUAAUUUUCCUACUGAAGCAGUAGGAGCUUGAGGCCAUGGCUCCUAAAGCUUUGAAACCCAUGCAGCAACUGAAAUAGAGCUCAGCAUUCAUUCAUUCACUCACUCACUCAAUAGUUAUUGAGCACCUCCAACAUGCGAAGCACCGUGCUAGGUGCUGGGGAUUUGGCAGUGAACCAGAGAUGAAUUCUACAUUGAAGCCACUUAGUAAAUAUUUGUUAAACAGAUAGACGAGUGGAUGGAGACAUGGAUGCAUUAGUAGUGAGUGGAUAAUGUCUCUAUCUGUGGCAUCCCUUCUGCUCUAUGUUACCUCAGAGAAAAAUCUCACUUCUUUACUCUCCGUGAUCCCACAACUGUUCUGGAUGGGGGAAGUCCCAGGAAGUUUAGUCUCAAGUGGAGAGUAGGGAGAGAGGAAACUAAAUUCAGAGGGGUAGUACCCACUUAAAGGCAUCCAUAUGAUGAGUGCUGGGGCCAGAAGAGACUGGAACCAAUGAGUCAUAGGGUCUCAGGGUCUUCAGACAUCAUAUGGGGCUGCUACAGGGAUCUUUUCAGAGCAUCCCCUUCAACAGAUGUUCCUCAGCCUCCAUGCUAACUCUCAAUGAUGGGGCACCUGACACAGGCAUUCCACUGCUUGCCCCUGGUGAUUUCCCUCAUUCUCACCUCUAAGUAACAUCCAAAAUAAAACCAGCCCAGCCUUGGGCCAUGAUAUCCUAACCCACAGCAUGUGCACAUGUACCCACAUCUGCAUAUCUGCUCUACCUCCAGAUCAAAAUAGCAACCAGGGAGAUUGGCAGAGCCUGGAGUACCAGGCUGUCUUCCCAGUUUGGGACUGGCUGAGGCACUGUGACUUCAGUGAGAGUCUGGGCCCAUCCUCAGUCUAGAAAAAGCUUAUGCAAGGAUGAGGGUAGCCUAGAGAAAGUCCAGAAAACCACACAAAUGACCACCUGUUGAUUCCAAGGCGGAGACAGAGCACUUUCUCCUUUUAAAAACAGUAUCCUCUCCUCUCACUCAAGCUUAGCCUGCUCAACUGAACAGCCAGGAAAAGCUGCUGGUGUUUGGUGAUUUGAAGGGAAGGGGGUCUGAACCUCAGAAGCUUGUCACUUACUGGGGACCCUGAUGAGUUUCUCUCUGUUGUCCUGCCUUAUCCCUAAUCUAGCUCCCUGAUCAUUUGAAUGUAACCCUAAUUGGACAAGAAUUUUCUCCCUUUCAGUAUGGACAAAAUCAACAACCAUGAAUCAGAGACUUUUAGAGGAUGGGUAGUGAAGUGGGGGAAGAACAGAACAUUGUAGAGUGAGGGGCAGAGAGGCAGGCAGUGGGCAUGGGUAGGUUCUGGUUUUGUGAUUAGUAAUAUUAUCUCUUUAAUUGAAAAAAAUAAACUCAUUUCAGAUUCGUAUAAUUUCACUAAGUGUACAGUUUUUUCAUGCAGGUUGGUUCACGUGGUCUUCAAACUGUCCUCUCUCAUCUGGGGCCCAGUGAGGAUACCUCAGGAAAGAGCAAGUAGCUAGUGUAAAGCCAGGAUCCAGGUCUUCAAACUCCCAGUCCAGUGCUCUCUAACUACCCACUGUGUUCUCUAAGCACUUGAGGGAGGAAUCCAUGCCUUAGUCAUUAUUGUACCUCCCCCAACUCCACCUCAGCACUUAGUUCAGCAUGAAGCAUGCAUCCAGUAUAUAACCGUGGAGCGGAAGGAGCUGAAAUGUACAUGAUCCAGGGAGGAAAUCAGCAGUGGGAAUGCAGAUGCUCUGAGGCUUUGGGCAUGGGAGCAGCAGAAGAGAGCAAGGCUGAGUAGUGGGCAGGGAGGGUACAGACACAGUUGCAAUAAGGAAAGGGUGGGCAAUGCAACAGUGGGCAGGUGUUGCCUGCCCUUGGAUUCACUAUGCUGGGGCCAAGCAGCUGGUUAGAAACAAAAACAAACACCAGGGAUACAGGUUCCUGCUGUUAACAGCUUCAAACCGCCAGAGGAAAACUCCAAAUAAAUAUAAUUAGAAACUUGUAAAAACGUCCUCUCUGUAAACCUGCUCCCCAGGGUCUACCCUUCAAGCACUCCCCUUCCCCAGCCCUCCCCCCAAUGCCCACAUAUCCUGAUACUCCCCACUUUCAGAGGGAUUCCUUAGAUGUGUUUCCUUAUCCUGGAUCUUCCCUCCAGCCCUGCAGCCCCUGCCCAGGUCUUUCCUCAGCUUGUUACCACCAGUGACCAGACCUGAAGAGCCCCUGGUGUAGGCUCAGAAAUCCAAACCCCACAGCUCUCUAGGGCUAUGGUUAUAACCACAGGGAAAACCAGAGGUAAGAGCAAGGACCACUGUGCCCUAUAUAGGGGUCAUCAUCCCAUUUGUUCAGCCAAAGCACAGCAUCUAACAGCAACUACAAAGCAGUGCUUGAUCUGCAGGGGGACAUGUCUAGGCUAGGGCAGAAUACAGACAGCUAGUCUCAGAGCUAGAAACACGGAAUCCUGGGGCCCAGAUCCAAGAAUAUUCAGUUCCCAUAACACGGAUAUUUCAGCUCCACUUCCCAACUUUGUUGGAUACACACAUAUAGAAACACACAUGUGUUCUUCAGGGGCUAUUUCCAGGGAUAAAUACCCACUUCAUGGACACAGUAAGAACUAUCAGCUACUUGGGGUUCCAGGAAACUGGGGUGGGGGAAGAAAGGAAGAGUAUCCAGAUGACCUAGCCUCAGGCAGGCAGAAGUGGACCAGCAUCCAAGGAGGAGAGCGCCUGAGAUUUGGGUGAGUAACCUGUGGAGGCCCGGCGCCUUCUGCCUUCAGCAGGAAGGAUUUCAGUGAGAUGUGCAGAAUCUCAGGGCUGCAGGGAACCCUACUGAUAUUUUACAAGUGAGAAGAGGGAUUUCAGUGAUUUCCUCCGAGGCUCAAAUCCUUAGGCUCUGCAUUUGUCUAAACCCACUGGCACCAUAUACCUCUAUAUCCCCGGUGCCACUUGAGGCUGGCAUUGGGUGGGCAUAGGAACAGGAGAGUAGCCAGUCCAAUGUUAAGUGGCCAGUGGGGGAGGGGAGUCUCUGUCCCCUCUUAGCCCAGGUGACUAGCUCCUGUACCCCCUAGACAUCCCUGGGUUGGCCGUUGUUUCGCUUCUAUACCCAAGGCCCAGCAGUCCUUCUGUUUCCAGACUCCAGUCUUCUGAGCCUGAAGAAGCUGUCCCCAGGUCUGGGCCUCUUGCAGGCACUGCCAGCCUCAGAGCAGCUCUGCAGUUUCCAGCCCUGACAGGGACUCUUUCUUAUAAGUGGUCAUGUGCUAGGGAUACGGGAUGUCAAAGGAGGCCCACACCCUGACAUUUGGGGACCAGAGCUGGGGGAAAGGACUGAGUGAGUUCAGGCAGCAAGCUCUUCCAGCUCCAUCUUCUCAAAAGGUCUGAAGCCCUUCGUUCCCUUCCCCUGUCCUCAGUUCAAGGCACUGGACCAAGCCAUUCCACUUCUUUACUUCUCCAACUAAAACAAAAUGCAUAUUGCCCCACUUCCUUUUUCCUCUCACCAGAGCACUUCACACACACACACACCCUGAGUCAUGCACACACAUUCACACGUGUGUGAAUGCACACUUCACAUUCCCAAACUCACACCCAGGGCCGGCUCCUCUUACAACAGGUCCCAGCUGCUCACAUCUCAAACCGGUUCUCAUGCUCUCAGAUUCCUGAAGGUUUCAAAAAACAAUCUCAUUUGAGGGCUGCUGAUGACUGUCUUCUUUCUCUGCCUGCAGUAAUUCUGGCCUUAGUGUCUUCUAGUCCCCUUUCUCUUAUUCCACCCUGCAGAGACUCAAAGAGAUGAGAAGGAAGGGGUUGAAAACAGGGAAAAGUCUCUGUACUCUCCCACCCCGAGGCUUUCCCCACCUCUGAGACAUGUCAUGAGAGAAGAGAGGUCAAAGGGAUUCCUGAGGAAUUUCUAAGCAGUCCACCCUCUUCUCCACCUUCUGGAAAAAUGGGGGUGGGCUUAGAGGGAACUGACUAAAGAUCAGGCUCUGAGUGGGGACUCUCCCUCUCUCCAGUGUGGCCUGGACAGGGCACAGGCAAUAGCCGGCUGCCCACGGGGCCACCCUUACCCGCUGACAUGGUUAUGGUUUUCAUUUCAUAUUUUGGAGGGAGGGGCUAGUAGGAACAGUCCCCUCACUGUAAGAGCUGGCCACAGGAGCCCAGGGAAGCGGGGAGGAAAGGAAACAGCCACAUUAAAGAGGAAGAGAAGGGUGGGAGAAAGAAAGAGACACAUACACCCAGACAGAGACCCGGAGAGACACACCGAGACAGAGAGACACUGUUUGCCACCACAUGAACGCUCUCAGUCCCAGGGAUGGGGUUACUUGGAAAUUCUAAAUGCAUGACUUUAUCAAAACUCUAUCCCUAACAAGGAGAGAAAACUACCAGGUAAACUAAACGGCCAGGCUGGCUCUCCUGGAGCCAGCCCUGGGGACAAGUUUCCCUGGAGGCCGAGAGACCUUUUCAUUCAGCUGUAACCUGAGCCCUAUGCGAGGAUUAGGUCUUUUUAACCACUGCUGCACACACCCCCCCCCCCGCCGCGCCUCCCCCCCGCCCCCCCCCCCCCCGCCAAACACCCACCCCCUUACCAAAAGCAAAGCAAAUUAAUGCUUUUAAGUUAACAAUUAUCUUGGUUAUCCAGUCUGUCUACUUUAAAAUAUACAGACAAGCACUUGAAAAACACUCAAAACCAUGUCCCCUCAUGCUCCCUCCCUUCCCAGUCACACAGGCUUACCCACCUACUCUUCCAUACAGUUCUCACAGACACUAAAACAGCAGUUUACCCUUAGCAACUACGUCACAAGAAACACAGACAUCCAGCUAUGUUGCCUGUGGGUAACUGUGGUGAACCUCUCAUGUGUGCACAGUCGCACACUCACCUUUACACUUAGGGCUCCCUUCCUUGUCUCCCCCUUUCCCCCCUUCCACAUGACUUUGGUUUUCCCAUUGUGGGAAUCACUGAUGAAAAGGGACAGAAACCCAGAUACCCCCAGAGGUAUAGUAACUCCGUGCAAGAUACUUGCCAAGGGUAUUUGAUUUUAAAGACCUGCUAGUGCUUUAUAUAAAGCAUGUGGCAUUAAAGGCACACUUUCUGGCACUGCUGAUAACCAGGAGAUAUGUUUGAAGGUAAGGCCUCCCUGAUGCUCACAGACUGUGUCUAUGGGUAAGGCUGUAAGGUUGCCCCGCCUGGUCAGUACUAGUUCUUCCUGCAGCAUCUGCCUGCAAGUUUGUGUCCAGAGACAUCCCUGUAACCCAGCAAACCUGCUAUUAGGCAACCUCUGGCAGAUGGGGUUUGUAGAUUUCCUGAAGAGAAGGGUCAAUGAAAGGCUUCCAUUCUAGGCCAAGCUUAGGGAUCAGAAGAAAAGAAGGAGGAUACCAAGCUAACUGCGGUCCAGUCACAGGAAGGGUGGCCUGUGAAUGAGAUAAGCUGGGGACAAAAACUACUCUAAGUUCCUUGAGGGCAGGGGCCUUCACUCUGGCAGCAUGUUCCUCAGUACCCAGCAGGGAGUCCAAUGAAAGUGGAAGCCCUGGAGUACCAUGCAGGGAUUCUGACUCCCGUUCCUGAAUCAUGAGCUGAUCUCCCAUACUUGAGUGCCUUGGCUUGAUGGCACCUGUCCCUUGGAGGGGUCUCCAUCUGCCCCUGGGCCCCCCUCGAAUACACUGCUUCUCCUUUGGUCCACAGCCUCACUAGGCCACUACAGACACUGGCUCCAACUUGAAAGAGGCCCUUAUCUUGUCUCUAGGUUACUUCAUGAUAUCUGUUCCUUCCUUCAGACUAAACUCCCCACCUAAUUCCAUGUUAUGAGUAAGUCAGCACACACUACAAAAGCCAGCUUUGUUUAUGAAAACACAAAUCCACAGUGAGGAGAGGGGCUGCUCCCAGGUUGGGGGUGGCAGUGGCGAUGCGCUGUCUGGAACCAGGACUGGAAAAGAGGCAGUGUGGGGCUGGAAGGUGUGGGGGCAGGGUCCAGUAUUUGACAGCUGAGGAUCUCUAGUGUUUCAGUUCUGUGAAAGGACAGGUUGGAGGGGGAAGAGGUUAGCUGAAGAGGCAGUGUUUGGGGAGAGGAGGGCGGCAUUGAUACAGCACCUUCCUCUUCACAGAGCAGGAGCCCAUCCAAUACAACAGAGCAGCUUAAGAGCCAAACGCUCAGGCUCUGGGACACAGCGACCUGUGUCGGACACUCAGGCUUCCCCAACUCCCAAGUUCAACUUUCCUUCUGGCCCAGCCAUCUCCUCACCCAGCUGGCUUCAGGAGCCCCUGGGACAAUAGGCAGAAUCAUACUCUCCUGGGCAAAACCUUGCCAGGAGGAAUUUUCUUUUUGUCCAUAUAAAUCUCUUGUCGGUGAGGACACGAUGGGGGAGGGGUACAGCAAGAGGUCAAGGGGGAGGAGAAACUGUCCCGAGAGAACUGUAGUACAUCAGCCUAGUCUCUGCCUGCACAGCCUUGGGACCUGCCAGGCGAUGAGCUGGGGGUCAGGGACGGGGGCGGGAGGCCUCCCUGUCUCUCUUUAAUUCCUAGAGGGAUCUGUCAGAGCUCCCCGGCCUGGAAUUCUACUUUGUUAUUUUAAUGCAAUUCUGACCUGGAUUUAAAUGGAAUUGGAAACCCGAGGCCUUAAUAAAUAAAUAUUAUGAUAAGAAAUGAAAGCCAUGCAAGACGAAAGAGAUUUCACCCCAAAGAGGCAGAAACGCAACAUUCCUGUCGGGAGCCAGUCACAGAAAUUUUCUUCUCUUCUUCAGCCCCCUACCAUCCGGUGAGAGAUGAGUUGAUUUUUCCAUAAAAGAUCCUAUUUUUCUUCAACAUUUUUCCACUGAUAAGGCAUCAACUUAGAAAUGUCUAACUUUGCAUGCGGGUUGGGGGUAAGGGAAAGAAAUAUACGGCACGGCUGAAAAGUUUUCAUUAUUCCCUCAGUCUCUCCAGGCCACAGCGUAAGUUUCUGGCAAUGUUUGAGAGAAGAGAAAAUUCUCUCUCAGAUUUUGGAAGACAAGAAGUCUUUCGAAGAUGCUGGGAGUGGAUGAAGUCGAGCGGAAUUCUGAGGCGCGUGGUCUCUUCUGCCCACCGCCCCCAAGAGUUUCUCACUCCUCUCUGCCGCCCCCAGCUUGUCCGGCUUUUCGCUCGGGGCGCAGCGCCCAGCGGUCGGGCCCCUGGCCGGGGAGUCCGGGUGCACAGAGCCGGGUUCUGACAGCAGCACGCUCCCCAGCACCUGCCCUGCCCCUCGGGAAUCGCUCCUAGGCCCUGAGGCCCAGCAGCCAGGACAGCCCCCAGGCCGCGCGCCCCUCCUUCCUUACCUUGCGCGGCUUUGCUGUACUGGGCGGCGCGGGCGUGGACCAGCAGGACAAGCAGGCAGAGCCCGGGUACGCGCCCCGAGCCCAUGGCUGGAGCUACUGGCGGCCCAGCCGCCGGGGCCGGUCUCGCGGCCAGGGGAGGGCGGAAGCCGGCCGGAUCCCAGCUCGCAGGAGGGGGAGGGGAGGGGGCGCCCCGCCGGGGCCAGGCCGGGGGCUGCAGUCGCGGGGCGCGGACCGCGGCGCCCUCGGCGCGAGGCUCCCGAUGCUACCGGCUCCUCCUGGCCGGACGUCGGGGAGAGCGAGGCGGAGAGUGCGACGAGGCGAGGGGCGCCAGGGGCGACUGACGGAGGGGAACCCCCGCCCUCUCCAAGCCGGCCUCUGCCAGCGGCGGCGGCGGGGCUGCUCCGUGUAAUCCCACCCAAUUCCCAGCUUCGCCGGGAGAGAGCUGCAGCCGGAGAGCGCGCAGAGCCCGAGCGAAGGACCUGAGAAAGGGGAGGGGAAACGCAGCGCCAGAAACACGCCCUUUCUGCCUCUCUUUCUUCCUCUCUCGCUCUUUCUCCGUCUCUCAGGCUCUUUUUCUUCGCCUUUCUCCUCCUCCUCCUCUUUCUCCUCCUCUCCUCGCUCCUUUUCGUUUUCUUCCUCCUCCCCCUCCUCCUCCUCCUCCUCCUCCUCCUUCUCCACCACCUCCUUUUUCGUGCCCUUUUUUCUUUCAAAUGGGGCCUCGGCGCGGUGGCCGCUCCCCCUGCGCGCCCGGGCGCGGUGGCCCCCUCCCCAGGCUGCCGGGCCGCUGCCUGCAGGAAUUUACAAUCCGGCGAUGGGGGAGCGGGCCUGGUCUCCAUGGAGACGGCUUCCCCGGGAGCAGGGAGGUCAGGCGCAGACCGCGCGCAAUCAAUGGAUCAAUGCAAGCUCCGCUCGGCUCCAGACCAAACAGCACCGGGCUCCGACUCGUCCUCGCUCCCCUAGGAAAGAGUCGGGGAGCGAGGGUGCGUCCCCGCGCUCGCUCGCGAGGACGGCCGUGCGGCGCCAGGUUUGAACGCACACCUCCACCCGAGACAAAGAGGGUGCGAGGUGUUGGGGAGGCUGGGGCAGACGUGGACACACGGACACACGGGCACUCGGGCGUGUCCACCGACACAGCCUGACAGGGGACAUAGGACCUCGGAACACACCGCCUCCGACACCAGGCCGAGUAACAACCUCUCAACUUUUACACCUACCACACCCCCAACCUCAAGACUCAGUCCCCAUUCCUAGAUGCGAGUCCACUUUGAGGACCAAAAAGAAAGUAGCCUCCGCCUGCUAAAACUGCCAGCUCCAGGGCAGACUCCCUUGCAGUUAAGGCCUUGGAGGUAAGCCUAAUGAACCACCCUACCCGCAGAGACAUGGACUCACAUACAGACACUCUCAUGUGGUCAGCACAGGGGCGAAAGCUACCCCACAGAAUCAUGUCUAUGUGUAUAAACACAGAGACAUAGAGACAGGUACAAGAGGCUCCUCCAAACCUGCACCCCGCUUCAAGAGGUGGUCCUGACUGGUCCAUUCUGAACCCUUCAUCCUUCCAACUGAGGGGAAGCAGAGGAAAGAGAAAGGAUAUUUUUAAAACAGGGGCAAACCGCAGAAGGAGCAGGGUCUUCCAACCAUGGAUGCUGCCUCUUGACUGUUCACCCACUCUGUAUCUUCUUUCCUUCCAUUGUAAGGGAAAGAGGAAAGACCUCUUGAAAGGCUAUGAAGACUUUCUUGGAGUGUGAGGCUGUGUUCAGAAUGAGACCAGGCCAGGUCCAGUUUUCUACAGGGAAGAUGCUGCUAGGACCCAGACUAGCCUCACAGAGCCCUCAGCGUACCCAGGAGGAAGAGGCAAUGACCAAGAUCUCCUCAAAGGUGCCGCCAUCUAACAUACCAUCCUUCAGCCCUUGGUGAAGUCCUGAAGCCAGACCUCUGGGAGUCUACUCAGGGAACCCACUGCCUCAAACAAAUUUGCAAAUAAAAUUAUUGUAUUUGAAAUAGGCCCACAUUGGUGAAGUUAAGAUGUGGAACUAAUUGUAUGUGUAUUUCUAUAUAACCACAGACUCAAUGUUUGAUGUUUGACAUUUAUUGUGCACUUACUAUGUACCAGGGACUUAAAGGAUGUGGGGAUUCAAAGAUGACAUGGUUUCUCCUUUUAAGUUUAUGAUUUGGCAAGAGAAAUUCACAUCUAAAUAAUUGGAAUAUAAGGCAGAAUGUGGUAAAUGUCCAAACAUGGAGGUGCCAACAUAAAAUUCUAAUGAGGGCAUAAAGAGCACAGAUUAAUUCCAGCUGGAAGCAGGAGGACAACUCAGUGGAGGAGGAAAGGGUUUAAAGCUGACCUCAAAGAAUAUAUAGAAUUCUCAUACAUGGAGUUGGGUGAAGAGAGUGAGGGCUUUCCAGGUGGCAGGAACAACAUGAGCAAAGACUUGGAGAGGAGAAUGUCUUCAGGGAAUUAAUAAUUGGUUCAAUCAGAGACAAGUAUUUCAGAGAGUGUGGAGGAAGAUCUGAAAGGUGGGAUGGGGCUAGACAAUGAAGAGCCUGUUUCCAUCAGAUGCUAAGCGACUGACAGUGUUGCAUAGGCUCCGGGAACCCGGCAACUUUACAGCAAAGUAGCAGCAUGGCGGGCUCACUUCAUGAAUUAGCUUUAUGUGUGCUCCAGGAUUUCUUCAAUGUGUUGAUUUUUAGUGAAUUUAUUUCAUCAUGAAUGCAGGAAGAGAACAGAAAGAAAAACGGGGAAAAGAGGACAUAAAAAGAAGUGGGCUGGGCAUGGUGGCUCACACCUGUAAUCCCAGCACUCUGGGAGCCUGAGGCAGGCGGAUGACGAGGUCAGGAGAUCAAGACCAUCCUGACUAACACAGUGAAACCCCAUCUCUACUAAAAAUACAAAAAAUUAGCUGGGUGUGGUGGCGGAUGCCUGGAGUCCCAGCUACUCGGGAGGCUGAGGCAGGAGAAUGGUGUGAACCCCAGGAGGCGGAGCUUGCAGUGAGCCGAGAUUUGGCCACUGUACUCCAGCCUGGGUGACAGAGCAAGACUCCGUUUCAAACAAACAAACAAACAAAAAAGAAGUGACAGGGAGGGAAAUAAUGGACAGAAGGAAAAGAGAGAUGGAGAAGGAAGAGAGAGAAAGAGAAGGAGGCAGCCCUGGAGGAGACAAGGCAAACCCUGAACUGUUCAGGGGCCAAGCUUAAGGAGCUACUUGGGCUUUUCCAGGCAAACGACCUCUGGCUUCUUGCCCUGGCCAACCACAGAGGACAAUGUGAGGCGAGUUUGUUUGGUGAUGUGUUUUCUGCUGGCCCUGUUUGUUUGUUUUUCAUUUUUCUGGUAUUGGACAGAUCUGGGGUGAAGGAAGAGGGAGACAGGGUUGUGGCUGGCAUUGAUAGUGGUCCUUGGGCUGGGCUCUGGGCUGCCCAGAGCCCCCCUUUAGUGGGGGCUUAUGGGCAUUGGAGCUGAACUUUUGAUGUCCCUGGAAGGGGGCCUUUUUGUAGGUGCCCAGAGCCAGGUGGCCUUCCCAAGCCUGGAGAUGGUUUGCCCUAAGCUCUUUGUCUCUGUCUUUCCCCACCCUGGCAAGAAAGAAUUAGUCCUUGAGGCCUGGGCUCCUUGCCUGUGUAGCCAGGAUGUCGUGCUGGGCUGGGGAGCCCAUGGGGGUAGCAAGAGCAGCUGCUUCCAGAUUGGUGCUGGGGAACGCAGGGGCAGUCCACGAGAGCCAGCCUUCUCCCCAGCCCCGAUGAUGAGUCUGGCUUUCUCUCCCGUCCCACAGCCCUUGGAAGCCAACCUAACAAGUUCUAUUAAAGUUAAUGAAACACAAUGAUUCCUCUGUUUGCUUGGUUACAACUCAUUACGAGUUGCUCUUGCUUGCUCGGCUUUUGCAGAGGAGAUUCAUUUGAGUAGCCAGUGCUUGGCCUUUGUCCCCCUAAUUUUUACUGGCCCAUUAACAAGAUCAGACACUUUGGCUGACCAGGAAUAUCUAGUACCCAAGUCCCAACAAAACCCAUUGGGUGGAGUUUCAGAUGACCUUUUGAGUCUAAAUUAGCCUAAAAACAUGCUGCCGCCCUUCCUCCCUCUGUUGCUUCCCUAUAUCCAAACUCAGUUUUAUAUGUAGGUACAAUAGGAGUAUGCAGAGAUUUCAGAAGUUAGGAGAUGCUUUUCCAGCCUCUUUAGAAUGUAUCUCAACCCACUGAUUUAGAGAAGUUCCCUAGUAAGAGCUCCAGCUCGAUUUAAGGGCUUUCCUCCCCCAUUUAAAUGGAAAUAAACUGAACAUUGUUAGUCACUUAUACUUUGGUGUGAAUUAGUUCAUAUUGUCACUUUAAGGGGAUUUGGGAGUCUCCUAAAUUGUAUACAAACUUUUGUCCACAUUAUCCAUUCUUCCAGAGAGAGGUUUUCUAUAGCUUUCUUCAAAAUUUCCAUAACCGUCCCCCCACCCCCUACCCCAACACGUACACACACACACACACAAACUCUCUCUCUCUCAAAAGGUUAACAACCUCUGUGUUAGUAGAAGAGUGGGCCGUAACUGGGGCACAGAAGACAAACUCUCCUUCCUUCACCAUCUGCUUGGCCAGUCCUGCCUCUAAGGAGGGACCUUCCCCUCCUCCUUGAGUUCCUUAUCCACAGACCUCCCAUUGUCACCACAGCUCAAUCAUGUGCUUCCCAAAUCUUAAAACCAACCUCAAGUUGGUGGGGAGGAGUCAAAAGGAGAGCCCUUGAACUCUAUGUUGAUUUACAUGCCGAGGCUGUAAAUGAUAGGUUUACAUGCUGGUGUAAAUACUCAUAAACUCGCAGUAAGUGCAGGGCAUCACAUGCUUUCAGUGUCCAGAUCCUCUGCAGCCCGUACAGGCCUGGCAUUCUCAGGGUCAGGGAGGAGAGCGCCGAGUUGGCAGCAGCUAGCAUGACAGGGGCUGACUAUGACUAUGGAGGAAAAGGGCGUGCUUGGAGUUGGUCUCUAAACCCUCAUCCUCUCCCAUACAGCAGGUGGCUUCUGCACAGUGAUACCUUGGCAUGACUCCCCCUGCUGCUCAGCCAGCCUGACUGUUCUUUUGGGUUAAAGCAUUGUCUCCAGAAGGUCCCUGUUAAAAUGCAAAGGGGCUUCUUGCAGGGUGACUUGGGCUGGUUGGCUGACUGGCUGUCACUCAACAGAAAACAGAGACCCCAGAUCAGGGAGGUUAAGGUUUGGGAGAAAGGUUCAGGUGGGUCAAUACUAUAGCUAUAUGAAGUUGAUUUAAAUGGCUUUCCAGGUGUUCUCCCUAAUUCCACUCUUGGGGGCUGAGAAUCUAUCCUUCAUAUGGCAGCCAGAGUCGUUUUAAAGCUGGGCCAUACAACCUCAACGUGAUUGACGUUUGUUGGGGGGCCAUCCUAUGCAUUGUAGCACAUUUAGCAGCAUCCCUGGCCUCUACCCACUAGGUGCCAGCAGCAGCACUCCCUCCCCACGUUGCGACAGCCAAAAAUGUCUACAGACAUUGACACAUGUCCCCUGGGGGAGGGGAGUGAAAUCAUACCCCCUAUCUUCACUUCCCCCUGCCCCACUGAGAAUCUCCAUCAUAAAGUGUAAGUCAGCCCAUGUUACUCCCUGGUCAAAAAUCCUACCAUGUCUUCUCAUUGUUCUGAGCAUGAAAUCCGCCGUUUGGCCCAGCCUUCAAGGCCUUGUGUAGUCCAGCCUUGCCUCCCUCUCCUGCCCCACCUUGUACCCCUCUGCUGUCAUCUACCAUCACCCUUUAGCCACAUAUAACCCUUUUUGACAUACCUCGAUAAACCAAGCUCUUUCUUGGACAGGGUGGAAGAUGGAGAGAUAUGGGCAGAUUUAGAGUAAGUUUCAGAGGCCCUAAUUUCUUUGGAUUUUACUGGGAGGCCUUUUCUUUUCGCUUUUUUGAGAUGGAGUUUAACUCUUGUCGCCCAGGCUGGAGUACAAUGGCGUGAUCUCGGCUCACUGCAACCUCUGCCUCCUGGUUUCAAGCAAUUCUCCUGAUUCAGCCUCCUGAGUAGCUGGGAUUACAAGCGCUUGCCACCAUGCCCGGCUAAUUUUUGUAUUUUUUAGUAGAGACAGGGUUUCACCAUGUUGGCCGGGCUGGUCUUGAACUCCUGAUCUCAGAACGUAAGCUCCAUCAGAGCAGGGACCAUGUCUGGCUUGUUCACUAUCGUGUCCUCAUCAUCUCCUGUACUGCCUGCCACAUGAACAAUGGCCAUUAACAGGCAUGGAACUGGAGCAGAAAUGGAAUGAACCCUAGGGGCCUGGGAGCCUGGAGGGGUGUAGGAGUGGGGAGGGGAUUGGGGAGACAGGCGGCAGAGGAAAGCGCCUGCCCUCGCCUCCUCCCAUCACCCCCUAUACCCCUGUCCCUAAUGAGGUGCUUCUGGCGGCACCUGACUUUUCCAUUGCAAACACCACUUGACUCUCGGCCCUUCACACUCUCAUGAGGUUCUAAGGGGCUGCACAGGCGCCGCCCACCCCAGCCAUGCCCUGGGACUCACCACACACCAGGAAGGCCGGGAGCUGCAGCAAGGGGACAGCUUAAAACAGCCCCACCAACACCCCAAAGUGGGUCUCCCAGUUCCCCGAGAAGGCCUGGAUGCCCUGCUGAAGGGUGAGCAGGGCCAUGUGGGUGACUUGGAGGACCCAAUUCCCCGGCCAUGGGAACCCCCAGCCUGGGCUUUCUUUGGGGGUAGCUGAGACAACGAGCCCCCACCCAGAGCAGGAGAUGACGCAUUUUUUCUGUGGCCACAAGCCACUUUGACGGGUCCGCCCCACUGGGGAGCAACCGAAACCUCAUCCCACCCAAAGCGGCCUUUGUCUGCACUACAUAUUUGUCUUAUUUGGAAGAUUUUUGUGGGUUUUCCUGUCUUUCUCCAGCGCUCACUGCCCUAAGGGGGACGAAGGCCAUGGCGGAGCUGAGGGAAGGGGGUGAGAGGCAUUCUUGGGGCGCUGUGCCUGGUGGUCUGCAGCACAUUUGGGGGUGGGAGAGAAAUCCACCCCACACACCCUCGGCGCCCCAGUGAUGCCUUGGCCCCAGGCCACACUCUGGGCCUUGCCUGUCCUCUGUGGACUCGUGCCCCUCCUGGUCCUCCCAGAGCUGUUUCCUCUCCAUCUUCUCUCAGCCUCCUCAGCUCACUCUCCAAUACUUCUGUUUAUUCCCUCAUGUUCCAUCCUUCCAGCCAGCUUGGCACCUCAUCAUUUCCUACCUCCCCCGUCAUGGGACCCUCUGCUUUCUUUCUACCUGUCUGAAUUCUGAAGACUCUCCCAGGGCUUGUUCCCCCAUCUUGCCUCCUCCUGGGAGCCUCCCUGGACUACUGUAGCGCUUGGCAGGAUCUCCUCCUUCUGAAAUGUAAAAGUAUGUGUUUUCUAUCCUUUCUGUGAUUCUAAACACACCCUGCCCCUAUACCACCUGCCCAGCUAAAUAGAGGCCAGAGGCCAUGGCUUUUGUGCCUUGGCGUCCAAGCCCCAUCCUGCCUUGUACAAAGCAAUUGCUCAACUAAUAUUUGUUGGUUUGGGGCUUCUUAAGGGCUACCCAUGAGAUUACCAACAAAUUAGAGAAUUUCAGUGAUGGAAGGGACCUAAGAGCUUGAAUUCUUGCUAAGGGGUGUCUGGGUUCAGCUUACAUACCUUUAAUGACAGGGAUCUUACCACUUCCUGGGGCAACCCAUUCCCUUGCCUGUAACUCUGACCAUAAGAAAGUUCUUCCCCACGUUGAGCUAAAACCUGCUGCCUUCUGGCUUUCCCCACCCUACUCCCAACUAGGUCACAUCAAACUAUUCCAGUCCUCUUUCCUCACGACCACCCUUCAGAUAUUUGAGGGCAGCAAUCUCCUACCUCUGCAGUCUUUUCUUUUCCAGGGGGAAACACCUGUAGUCCUAACCUUCAGUGCCCCAAUGCCCCUGAUGACCAUGGACUUUGGGUAUUCCCCCCCACCCCUGUGCUGGGCCUCUCCCACAUCCCUGCUGAACUCAUUCUUCUCACAAAAUCCCC